rnacentral:lncRNA from 1 species
UGAACACAGGAAGAAAAUUAUUUCUAUCUGAAAAUCGAGAUCACUCAACCAAACAAUGGUACCUUCCAAUCUACCUAGUGUAUGUAUAUAGGCAUCCACUGAUUGAUACUUUGAAUUUAAUUAAUAAAUCAACUUCAGGUGUCAUGUUUCCACAUUAAAUAGAGAGAAUAACAAUUAACUAGAUAUGACAGAACUGGUUAAAAAUUUGCUCAAAAUAUACUAAAAAGAUCAAAUUUUAUUAUUUUUUACCUGCUUUCAUGUCUCUCCAAUGUCAGAUCAUGUCCUCAAGCAACUCUUUCGGCUUUCUUCGCCCAUUUUUCUUCUUUUUACAGCAUGAAGCUAAUACAAAGCCAAAUGAAAAAGUAGAGUAGUCAUUUCAAAUUCAAUUUAAUUGUCAAUUGAAAAGUUCAAUUGUUACCUUCGUCAACUGUAGAAUCAAUAGUUAAUGAAAUAUACAAUGAGAAGAGUAAAUAUUAAUAACGCACCAAUAUUACAAAUCAAUAGCUAAGGAUCAAGUGAAAUUUCACCUGCAAAUUAGGACAGCCGAGGAAGCAUCCAUAAACAUCGGAAUAAUUAUAUCACUGAAAUUUCAUUAGAGUAAAUUAGGACAGCAGAGAAAAAAAUAAACAAAGCAAUUUGCAAAGGACAAUUUUUCACCUAAUUUUUGUUAAAAAUAUCAAAAACUAAAUUGAAUUUUUUGGAGAGUAAUCAAGUUAUUUAUUUAAAAUACAUUUUUAAAUAUUUUUUUUAGAGUUUUGAACAAGACAAUUUUUUGAUAAUUGAAAUCAAGUACCAAAAUAUUUUUUAUACUGUUUUAAUUUCUCACUAAGAGUUAACUACGUAUUUUUUUUAGCACUGAUAUAUUAAAUAUUAUCAUUAAUAUACUUAUAUUUAUUUAAAAAAAAUCAAAACGCUAUUUCCUUAAUAUCAUUUAUGCAACAAAAUCAUCAAGGGAGCUUCUGUCUUUGUACACUAAAAAAUUAUAUAUAGUUAAUUCACUUGGUCAAAUAUCCAAAUAGUUGAAGUUAGUUUUUAUUGUUUAUUUGGUAAUGAAAUGGGUGCUAAGUGAGGUCUGGUAAAGCCUGAAGGAAUAAAUAGUGAUUUUAGAUUCAUGUGGGUGCUUUGAAUUAAUCAUUUUGUCAAGUUUCGCACCACCGACCCCAUUAAUUUCUAUCCGUUGCAUUUCAGUCAACAAAGCCAACGAAUAAUAGCUGCGGGCUGUCACAAUGCCUGUCAGUUACAGUGUUAUAUAACUUAGCCGCGGCCUUAGUUAGACUCAGUUCGAGCUCGUCUAAAUUUGGAGGGGCUUUUGGAGGGUUUGGGCCUGCUAUCAAUAGCUAAGGCUUGACCUGAGCUUGAAAAAGCCUAUCCCAGACUCUUAAUUUGCUAUCAUAGUUAGAAAGAAAUCUUUUGUAUGUCGAAAGAUUGGGUCCAGUUAUGUUACAACAGUGGUACGGUAUCACUGUUACUUUCAGUCAUUAGAUCUUAUUAAUACAACUGUACAAUUAUAGAUCUAAUGGCUAAAAGCAGCAGUUGUACCGUACCACUGUUGCAACAUAGUUUUGGCCUAAAAGAUUACACAAGUGGUGGAUUUUUGUUUCUUGACUAAUGUCUUUUUUGACCAUUUUCGUAUUUUGGUACAACUCAGAAGCGUGGCGCUUUACUCAGAUACUUAUCAUUGUUUUUUAUUCUUUUAUUUUGUCUAAGUUAUUACUGUUCAAUAUUCUCACUGUAAGGUUGACUUCAAGGGAUGAAAUCGUUUAGAUUAAAAAAAAAUAAAGGAAAUUCAUUCUCUUCAAUUUUUUUUUAUUUGUACUAAUGUUACAAAUAAAAUAUUAAAUAAUUAUUGAAACUAGUCUAUAUUAACUCAUAUUCGAGAAAUGUCUAUCUACUUACAUUUUGUAAGGAAAAAGAUUCUCUCCACUUAAUUGAAGAAACAAUUCACCACGGAUGCAAUAAUUAUUUCUUUAAUUUAAUGUAUUUUUCGAGCGUCUGGCUACCUUAUUCCUUUGUGCUUCAGUGGGAUGCAAUAACUUUUGCUGAUAGCCUGAUAGGCCCUACAAAUCAUAAUUUAGCAUAGAGAAAUGUUGUUACAUGUAGGGAUGAUAAAAAAGCUCGGGCCAGCCUUGUUCAUUUCCGUGGGCUUUUGCUGAAAUUUCCCACGUGAGGGCUUGGACAAGAGUUAAAGGAAAAAAACCUGGACUAGGUCUAACCCCUCUAUUUAAAAAAUAAUAAUAAUUUUAUAAAUUAAAAUAAAAAAUGGAAAAAUGAAAAAAGAAGGCUUAAAUCCCAAAUUCAUUUAUCAAUAACGAUAAACAAAAACUUAAAAUUAUAAUACUAAACUCUUUUUUAAGUGUUAAUUAAUUAAGAGAGUACUUGAAUUAGAAAAUUAAGUAUUAGAAAAUUAAAUCUCUAAAUUUUUAUUUGCUUUAUUUAAUAUUUUAUUUUGAAAUAUUUAUUUUUUUAAAUUCAUUGUUGAUUAUAACAAUUUGAUGAUUAUUAACUCAUUUUAAGUUUACAACAAUUUAAAAAUUUUGAAAAAAAAGUGAAAGCCCAAGCUCGGCCCAGCUCCACAUGGGCUCGGCCCUUACAUUUCCACUCUAAUGGCUUUGGGCUUGGGCUUGAAAAAACAGAACAUGCUCACAUUUUGCUAUCCUUGCCUGCAUGUAAGUUCAAAGUUGCAAAUUGAUGAAGUGGAAAUAUAGAAGAUUGAUAGAUUAGAAACUAAGUUUCUGAAUAAUGAAAUUUUAUUAGAAAAGUCUGAAUGAAUAAAACGAUAGCUUACCCCUUUUCUACUAAUCCCAAACAUCGAGAAUUUAUCAAAAUAGUAAAAUUUAAAAUAUUAUUUUAUAAUAAAAUUCUCCUAAUCUAAAUAAGAAAAACAAAACAAACGACAUCUAAUUUUGAUAUUUAAAAAAAUAAAAUUCUAAAAAUAAUAGAAAAAUAGAAAAACAACUUAAAACUGCAAAAAGACCAAAAAAAGAAGUAGAAUUUUUUACUUAAUUAUGGAGCAAGACAAGGCAAACAUUCUAAGUUUGAUUAGUCUCGUCGUAACUUUUGAAAUGAUAUAUUAUAUGCCUAAAAUGAACAUAUAAAGCCCAAGUUAUAACUCCUAAAAGAUACCUCCUUCAUGAUGAUCCUACGCAACUAUCUUACGUCGAAAAUGAAUGCAAAAGUUACAUUUCAAAUUAAAUUCAAAACAAUCAAUUCAAGCAUUAAUGCUGAGUUUUUUUAACCAAAAUACUCUAAGGAUUUUAUAAAUUGCUUUCUAAUUUUAUUUUGCAAAACACACCAAAUCAAAGUGAUUUUUCUCUUUUCUCUCAAACAAUUUCAACAUUUUGUAAUAGAGCUGAUGACAGGCAUUAGUAAACAAUGUGCAAUAGUAAUGCACAACAAUAUAGAAAAGCAAAUUGGUAAAGUGUAAACUAUGAAAUGAUAAAAUAGAGCCUUUUUUUUUUAAGAUCACAUGUUAAGUUAUUGGCAUAUUUUGUCAGGAUCAUAUACUUUUUUAGAUCUACGUGCUUUUGGUCAAAUUUAAUAUAAUCAAAAGUUUAAAACUGAAGUCCAUAUUCAAUAAUAAUAAACUAAUAAUAAUAGAUAAUGUAAUACUGACUAUUAAUUUAGAUCCUACGAUAUUAAAAUUCUUUUUUAAUACUUAAUAAAAAUAACAACAAUAAUAAGUUUUUUUUAAGGGUUAACUUAAUUGUUAACUUAGACUUACAUUGAGUCAUAAAUCAUAGUUUAUAACAACAUUAAUGCAUAUAUUCAUAAAAAUCAUGAUAUUUAUAAUUUAUUUAUUAAAAUCAUGAUAUCACCUAUUCAUUUAACAAAUUAUAAACAUAAAACAAUUAGAUUUUUUUUAAAUUAAGAAUUAAAUGAAUCUAAAAAACUUAAGCUAAUAAAAUGCAUUAAAGAUUCAAUUUCAAAUUUUUUUGCAAAAUUAUAAUUAUUCGUAAAAUUAUAAAAUUUCAAGUUUACUUUCAUUAAAAAGUUUUUACCUUAAUAUACUUUGACUCGCAUGUUAUUGAUAACGCAUAAGCCAUGUGCUAAUCCUCCAGUGAAACAUUUUUAUUGCGGUCCUUUUCACGUGCUGUGUUUUAGCCUAUCUUUAAUCAUAUCAUGCUUUUAAGGUCCACUUGCCUAAAAUUCUCAACUCAGCCCAGCCCACGUGCAUGCCAUGCCUCGUCGCUUACCCUACCAAAACGUCCUUGUGCCGUGCCACGCUAAACGGAUAUGUGUCGUGCAUGUGUCGUUCCACCUGUCACCUGGCCCAUUAGUCAUCUCUAGAAAACACCAUAUAUUUAUUUAGCGUGUUGCAAGCACUGUGUCGCAAGUUGCUCAAAUUUCCCGCAAACGGAGGCUAAAUUAGCGCGCACGGGUACGCUCAGUAAAAGUCUGCCCAAUAACGGGAUGCACUCAACAGCAAGGUGCGCUGAGCGAUGGGCUGCCUCAUAUAACUAGUGAGUUAUGGUGCACUUAGUAAGUGAAUAGCCCAUAAUCAACAAGCCUAGCCCAAUUUUCAGAUUUCUCUACACCUUGUAAAUGGCUAGAUUUUUAGGCAAGUUGCAUGAACUCUCUAUGAAAUAAGGGUGAGCACCCACUAUUUGCUCACCACCACACCACACACACAACACCUAGCAACUCAAAAACUCUCGUAAAAAUCUCUCUUAUAAUUUCUCUUUUGUGAGCAAUAAAAUAUUCUUUAGCCAUAUUGCUCUCUUCUCUCUAGCAGUAUUGCAAACAUCCUUACUUGGCUAGUUUGAGAAACUCUUUAGGCUUACUUAACAACUUUUGUACUAGAAGUUAUGUAAGUACUGCACGGGGUUGUUGUGCAAAAUAGUCAUCUCGUGACAACCGGCUUAGUUUUGCUUUGCACAUUUGCGCCCACAAUAAUAAAAGCCAAAAUAAGAUAUCAAAAAAUGUUGGGAUUUGACAUCAAGUAGAAGAGGUUUUGCCCACUCCAAAAUCAUCAAAAUGAUUAAUCAUCUUCUAUAUAACCUGAUGAUUUUUUUAACCUUUGAGAAAGCAACCACAGAGGUGGAACAAACUUCUACUCCUGGGACCUGACAUACGGUUAAUGAAGAAGGGUAAUUUCGUAAAAUUCCAAUCAAAAUUAGAAAAAAGGCAAGCCAUAUUCAAAAGUCAAUCUUGAUCAAACAAACGGCAGGAGGGACAUCUGUAAUUACAGCAUUUUCGAGGAAUUGUUUCUAAAAAUAACUAAAACGGGAAAACCCGAAUGGGAAAAUUGGAAAGCGACAAACACGAAAGUUCAAAGUUUGCUUGGUUGGGCUAUGUUCUGCGAGUGGGAGAGACCGAUUGUAGAAAGGGUUUCUUUUUUUCUUUUUUUUUUCAAAUAGACAUAUAGCCACGUGUUGUCUCAUAUAAAAAAUAAUACUUUAUAUAAGUCCUAGGUCAGUUGGGCUGGAAAACAUUUAAAAUCGAACAUAUCAGGCACGUUGUAAGUUCGCAAUUGGAGAAUCAUGUUGUCAGCCCCGCAACCCCCAAAUGGGAACUUUAGAUAGAAAAAUAUAGCAUCGCAAUGAUAAUAUUUAUUAAUAAUAAAUUUACUUAUUACAAUUGUUCUUGUCAAAGACUCUUUGAUGGUAUUUCAUGUGUUGAAAAAAUAUAAAAUAGUUUCAUUAUCAAUACAAUUAAAAACAUAUUUUUUAAUAUAUACAACUAAAUUAUCACUUGAUUUGUUCUUAAAAUGUUUUAAUAAUAGCAAAAAUAUGGAUAUAAUGCAACAUGAAGAACAAAUAUGAAUACACACACAUUAGGGAAUGGCAAUGGGAAGAAUAGGAGAGGGGACCGACAUCUCCAUACCCAUUUUCGAUAUUCUGUAUAUGUCCUCAUCUCCUCCCCAUUCCAUCAGAAUUACUUGAGAAAAUUUUCAUCCUCUCCCCAAAUAAUAACAGGGGAUUCCUGAGAGUCCCCGAUCUCCAAGUAAUUAAUAUAUUUUUAAUUUUUAAUUUUAAUUAAUUAUAUUAAAAUAAUUUUUUUAAUAAAAGUAGAAUUAAGGCGGUAGCUAGCUACCAUAGAAAAUUAGAAAUUAGGUUUUACGAUUUUGCCUUAAUUUUUGUUUUAUUAGAUAAACGUUUAAAAUAUUUAAUGAAUAUUAUAAAUUAAAAAAAAAAUUGGGCCAACAAGAUCCUGUCUGGCUUUUUUUAUGUCCUGAAUAGAUAUUUAAAAUUAUAACUAGUUAAGCAGGCUCAUUAAAGCAUCUGACAAAUUGUUACAUACAACCAGGAUAAUUAGAGUGCUAAUCAAAUAACCCAAAUUAUAGAUUCCCUAAUCAAACAAACAUAACAAAAAAAUUUUGAAAUGCAAUUUUUUUUUUCAGAAAUGCGAAUUGGCACCAAAUAAAAUUGAGCAAAAGCUAAUGCUGUCCUACAAGUUGACAUGGUCCUCCUUUAGCAAGGUUCAAAUAGGGAAGACCAUAGUAAAAAUAAGAGGAAAUAAUUUAACUUUAUCUAUAAAUCCUACAAUUUAGAUGCUAGUAAAAUAACUCCAAUCUGAAGCAUCAAAUGUACAAGAUUCGCCUCAUCAAAAAAAAAAAAAAAAAUGUAUAAGAUUCGUAAGUAAAAACAGGUUACACGAUUAGUUAUUACCUCGAUUACGUUGUAUAUAUUGCAUGGUAUACCUAAUCAGACAAAUAACGUGGACAUGAAGUGAAUAACUUAAUUUGAAUCUUGCUAUUUUAUUUUAUAAUUUUAAACUAAUUAAUUCAUGCACCCACAUUAUGCUUGCAUUAAGUGGAUACAAUACAACAGAAGUAUUCUACAAUCUCUUAUACGAAGAUUCUUAAUUCAUACUCUUAUUGGGGACUCUUUUUAAAAUUGACCUUUUCAUAAUAUUAUUUGUGAAGUAUAUUUUCAAACUAAUUACAGAAUAAUUUUAAAUUAUUGUAUAAACCGAUGAUUGAUAACACCGGGUAGACUAAUGAGACAAAGUCAAAACCAUUAGCCGGUCCAACAGCUCCACUCAUGUUAGCUUCCGUAAAGCACAACUCUAUCGACUCUCGUGACGUCUAGCAUCUUCGUUUAUAAAUACCCCACCUUCAGCCUCUCGACUCUCUCAAGACACUCCGACAGCAAGACUUCAGUUGGGGUGGGAACCGUUGGUGCUGGAAGAGGUGGUAGUCAUGGAAGCAAACAAUAUGGAGAUAUCGGCGGAGGCUGGUGGCCAGCCCCGCCGGAAGCUAUGAAUAUCCUCAACUGGAAUGUUCGGGGUCUGGGGAAUCCCUGAACAUUUCAAGCCUUAAGAAAAAUCCUCCAAUUGCAUGGUGCUCAGCUGGUGUUUUUGUGUGAAACAAAGGUAUCAACCAUGCAAAUGAAUGUGAUUGCAAAUAAGCUGAGUUUUGAGAAUUGCCUUGCGGUGAACUGUAAUGGAAGAGGAGGCGGAAUAGCAAUGCUCUGGAAGUCAGAUAUUGGGGUGCAAAUCAAUUCAUAUAGUUAGCACCACAUUGAUGCCGAAACUCAAAUGCCAAAUGGAAAUCGAAUGCGAGUUACAGGAGUGUACGGACAUCCGGAAACAGGUUAGAAAAAACACACUUGGAUGCUCCUUAGGCGGCUAGCGGUUUUAUCUUCUAGCCCUUGGUUGUGUUGUGGAGACUUUAAUGAAAUUUUACAUCCGGAAGAGAAGAGUGGCGGCAAUGACAGGAACGUGAAUUUAAUUAAUGAUUUCAGAGAAGUUUUGAGAGAUUGUGGGUUAAAGGAUGUCGGGUAUCGGGGGUAUGCUUUUACUUGGAAUAAUGGAAGAUAUGGGAAGGGAUUCGUUGAAGAAAGGUUAGACAGAUUUGUUUGCACAAAAGCUUGGAGUGACAGAUUUGUGGACUGUGAAGCAAGCAACCUGGACUUCGGAUCAUUGUCCCGUGUUGAUGGCUGUUCAAGUGAGAAGGGAGAGCAUGAACCAAAGGGGUAGACAUUCCUCGCGAAUCCAUUAUGAGGAUAUGUGGAGCUCGUAUGAUGUAUGCAAAGAAAUAAUUAAGGAGGAAUGGAGUUGGUUUAGAAACUGGAGCAGUGAAGAUCCAGCCCAAUCCUUUCGACAAGCAACAAAAGUUUCGAUGGGUAGGCUGUUGGGGUGGAGCAAGCUGGAGUUUAAAAAAGCGUGACAGAAAAUUAGAGAAGCUAAAGAAUCAGCUGCAGUAGUUAAAACAAAGAAGGGUGCAAUAUGAAAGUGGUGAGGAAAUUCGGAAGGUGGAGAAGCAAAUCCAAAAUAUUCUCAUGGAUGAAGAAAUCUACUGGAAGCAACGCUUAAGAGCAGAUUGGCUCAAGGAGGGGGACAAAAACACAAAAUUCUUCCACGGCAAAGCGACGGCAAGAAGAAAAAAAAAACAGAAUUUGGGGGAUUGAAGAUAAUUUCAGGAGAUGGAUUGAGAAGCCAAAAGAAGUAGAGCAUGAGUUUUGCAACUAUUUCACCAAUCUUUUUACAUCAACCCAGCCAAGCCAAGAUCAAAUUGCAGCAGCCUUGGAAGGAAUAACUCCGAGAGUUUCAGCUAGCAUGAAUGAGAGUUUGGGGGAGUCGUUUACAGCCGAGGAAGUCUUGGAAGCUUUGAGUCAAAUGUGCCCAACGAAGGCUCCGGGGCCGGAUGGUUUGCCAGCAGUGUUUUACCAAAAGCAUUGGCAUACGGUUAAGGAGGGAGUGCUCACCACUUUUCUGCAUAUCCUCAAUUCACAAGGUACCAUAGGCCCUCUAAACCACACUUACAUUGCUUUGAUACCAAAAAUCGGAAAGCCUAGGAAAGUGACAGACUUUAGGCCUAUUAGUUUGUGCAAUGUUAUCUAUAGAAUUGUAGCUAAAACAGUUGCUAAUAGAUUUAAGCAAAUUUUGCACAAAAUCAUCUCUUCGUCGCAAAGUGCCUUCAUCCCCAAUAGGUUGAUCACUGACAACAUCAUAGUUGGCUACGAAUGUUUGCACAAGAUAAGGCAUUGUAAAGGCAAGCGAAAUGGAUUAAUUGCAUUAAAGCUUGAUGUUAGUAAAUCUUAUGACAGAUUGGAAUGGAAUUUUUUAGAGCAAACUUUGAAAAAACUAGGCUUCUCGCAUCAAUGGAUUAGCUUGAUCAUGAGGUGCAUUAGUUCGGUUUCAUUUUCUGUGUUAAUAAAUGGCUCAGUGAAAGGCUUAAUUAAACCCAAAAGGGGCUUAAGACAAGGUUGCCCCCUCUCUCUGUAUUUGUUUAUUACAUGUGCAGAGGCUUUUUCCUCAUUGCUGCAGCAGGCUGAGCAACAACGACUUAUUCAUGGGCUAUCAUUUGGAAACGAUUUGAAGAUUUCGCACCUUUUAUUUGCUGAUGACAGCCUUGUCUUCAGCAGAGCUUCCAUGGCCGACUGUCAAAAUUUGAAGAUGAUCCUUGAGCGCUACUCCACAGCUUCCGGUCAAAUUUUUAAUUUCGAGAAAUCUUCUCUUUUUCUCAGUGGCAACGUACAUCAAGAUCAAGCUGAGGCAAUUGGGAAUCUCUUUCAGCUCAAUAUUGUGUCGAGACAUGAAAAAUACUUAGGCUUGCCAUCUAUGAUCGGGAGAAAGAGGAGCAGUUUUUUCAGUGACAUCAAGCUGAAGGUUUUCAAUAAGAUCUCAAGCUGGCAGCAUAAAUUUUUUUCUUGCGGAGGGAAAGAAGUCUUAAUCAAAGCGGCUGUUCAAGCCAUCCCAGCCUACGCAAUGAGCGUUUUUAAAAUUCCGAUGGGUGUUUGUGAUGAUAUUAAAAAAAUGGUGGCAAAGUUUUGGUGGGGCUCCAAGAGGGAAGGGAGGAAUAUUCACUGGGCGAAGUGGGAAAAGAUGAGUCAAGCUAAGUGUAAUGGAGGGAUGGGAUUUCGUGAUUUUUCAAGUUUUAACCGAGCCCUUCUAGCAAAGCAAGGCUGGAGGAUUCAGCACUGUCCAGACUCGCUGGUGGCAAGGGUCCUGCAAGCCAAGUAUUUCCAGUCAAAAAAUUUCUUGGAUGCAAAGCUCGGCUCAAACCCUUCAUAUAUUUGGAGAAGCAUUCUGUGGGGAAGGAAAGUAAUUUGCUCGGGCUCUAGGUGGAGAGUUAGCAAUGGUCAGAAAAUUCAUAUUCAUAAGGCUAAUUGGAUCCCACGGCCUUCCACAUUCCAACCAGUGGUUAAGCCAACUUUGCCUUCUGAUGCUAUGGUCUCUGAAUUAAUCAAUGAGGCAAACUGCUGGGAUAAGAAGAGGAUUUAUGAGCAUUUCGACAAAAUGGAUGCUGAUUUAAUUACUAAGAUUCCUCUGCCUCGAAGACCAAGGGAGGAUGAGCUGAUUUGGCAUUAUGAAAAAAAUGGCCAGUUCUCGGUUAAAAGUGGGUACCAAACAGCUCUCCAAAUAAAGUUUCCAGCCAUGCCUUCAAGCUUAGUGGUUUCCAAAAAUGAGUGGAAUAUUAUUUGGUCCCUUGCUUUGCCUCAAAAGAUCAAAAUUUUUGCCUGGAGAGCAGACAAAAACCAACUCCCCUCAGCUGAGAAUCUGUGGAAGAAAAAGAUAAUCCAGGAACCCACUUGCCAAGUGUGUGAAAUGGGAACGAAAAAUGCUUUUCAUGCUCUUGUGGCCUGCAAAUCGGCUGAGAAGGUAUGGAAGCUAAUCCAUUUUGAAGAUGAUAUUCAUGCAGCUCACAAUCAAGAUAUUUUAAGUUUGCUGCAUGCUAUGAAAAGAAUGAGAAGCAGAGCUGACCUGGAGCUGUUGGCAACAAUUUUUUGGGUAAAAUGGAAUGCUAGGAAUCAGUUGCUUUUCAAAGGAAAAAGGGAGAACCCCCAGAUUAUGGUAGCUAAAGUUGAAGCUAUGAUUGCAGCUUAUAAGAGGGUGCAUUCUCCAGCUGAGGCUUGCAGUGAAACAGAGCAGAGUGUACCUUCCCAGACAUGGAAUCCCUCUCAAGAUGGCUUCAUAAAAGUAAACAUUGAUGCAGCUAUCAGCUUCGAAAAGAACAUUGUAGGGCUGGGGGCAGUGAUCAGAGAUGAUUCGGGGCAUGUUACAGCAGUUGCUAUCAAGGUUUCUAAGUUUCAUGGAGAUGUUUCUUAUGCGGAAGCAGAAGCUAUGGAAUGGGGUAUGUUAGUGGCGAGAGAAGCAAAAGUGAAAGCUGUAAUUGUGGAAUCAGAUUCUCAAAGUGUGGUCAGUUUAGUUAACAACAAGCAGGGCAGCAGAUCCGAGAUCUAUUGGGUUGUUUCAGAAAUUCAGAAGGUAGCGGAAAACUUCGAACGUGUUAGUAUUAAGUAUACGCCUAGAUCUUGUAAUGUUAUUGCCCACUCUUUAGCUAAGUUAGCUUUAGAGAAGUGCGAGACUGUUGUGUGGAAGGGUUCAUACCCUUUACAAGUGAUGUAUCUCCUUUCAUCGUUGAUUUAAUUGAAAUCUCUUUUCAAAAAAAAAAAAAAAAAAAAGACACUCCAAAAAAAACUCCAAAGUCCAACAACAACAUUUUACAAUCUCUCUCAAUUUUUCUCGCUUCAGUUUACCAUCCUCGAACACGAACACGAACACGAACAUGAAUUAAGUUAAUUAGUUUAUGGAACACAAACUCAUCAUCAACAUCAUGUCCUAAUUGAAAAAGAAGGAUUGCGAGGGAAACUAAGCAUGUGCCUUCAUUUUCACUUGAAAUAAAGCGCGAUGGAAAGAUCUUAUGUUAUCACAUGAUGCCGUGUGAUCACCUAGAAGCCCUUCCACGCACAUUUCUUCUCAAAUUGUCUUCUUCUAAUUUCUUGGGUCACCGCGAAACCACAAUGUCAAUGCGAGGAUGAGCGAGUGUUGUUCAGCUUGUAGUUUUUGGAGCCGGUCCUGGGCUUUCUUUAUUUUUUUCAUCUUCUGCUGGUAGGCAUCGCCAAAAGGCAAAGAGAAUCCUCUGGUGUUCGUGGAGUUGGUCCUCGAUGCGAUUGAUUUCUUCUCCAAGUUGAGCAAGCCUUUGUGCCAUAGCCAUCAUUAUUUGCUUUCGAUCGAGCACUUUUCAUCUGCAACCAAAUGUUUCAUCAAUAUUUUGAAGUAUACACACUUGUUUCAACAGCUAUCCGGAUCACGUUAAAAGACAAUUUUGCCCUCACUUAAAGUGUAAAAUCACUAAAAAAGCCACAACAGUAGUUUCAAAUUCCAAUUGACUUGGGUGGAUAUUAAAAUUUCUUAAAGGUUAAAAAAAAAGUAAAAAUGUUUUGUUAUGGGAAUUGAAAUAUCCCCUAUAUCUUCAUCCAUAAUCGUCUAUCCAUGAUAACAAUUUAAUAAACUUGAAAAAGCAAGAUAUCCAAUCCCAGUGAAUCAAACAGCCAAUUUUCUUCAUAAAGUUUAGCUUUUGCUUUUAAAAAUUUUAACUCUUGAGACCUUAAAUAAACUCAUAUUCAAAUUUACAUUUUCUAUAAUGAAAAUCUUCAAUUUACCCUUUUAAUAUUUUGAAAAACGGGUCCAGCUACAAUACAAUUGUAGUUUCAUACCUAUUUUUUUGUCUUUUUGUGAUCCAACCAUUGGAUCCAACCUAAGAGUUGCAAAGUCUAUUCCAACAACUUGGAUGUUAUUAUUUGGUUAUCAACAAUAUGGUCCCUUAUGUUUACUAAAAGAAUAAGAAAAAAUUAAAUUUCAAAAUUUUGACACAUUGGUCCGUUAAAAUAUUUUAUUAUCAAAGGUAAUUUAGUAAAUGAACAUAUUUAUAUAUUAAAAACAUGGAUGAAUUAUUUUAACUUGCUAAAAUACUCUCAAAUUCCAUUUACUUAAAAUACGAAUUAGAUUUAAUAAUACUAUUUUGUAUUUAGUGUAACACAAAAUUAGACAAGUUUUUAUAUAAAUUUUGACAAUAUUAAAAUGAAAAAUAAAUAAAUAUUAAACAAAUGCUUGGAUAGUCAUUUAAAUUCAUUAUAGAGCUUAUAAAUAAUAUUUUCAAAAUAAUAAAUUUCUAUAUGUAAAUUUGAAAUUAUGUAAAAUUACUUAGACUUUAUCACACAUAUGAAGCUGAUCAAUUAUUUAUUUGAUCUGAAAAUAAAUUAAUUGUAUAAUAUUUAUUCUAUUACUUAAAUUUAAAAUUUGUUGAGAAGGAGAUAGAGAGAAUAUUUUUUUUAGAAUUUUAAAUUAUUAUAUUUUAAUUGGGUUUAUUACAUAAAAUUAAGUUUUUAUUAUUUGCAUAAAACAAUAGGAAUUGUUGAAGAAAAUGCCAAAUAAAUUUUUUAGAAUUUUGAAAUUAUUAUAUUUUAAUUGGGGCUUAUUGUAUAAAAUUUUUAAAACUUAUAAUUUUUAUUAUUUACAGAAAACUACAGGGACUGCUAAAGAAAAUAUCAAAAUAGUGUUUGGUACAACGGGGUAAGAUAGUUUUGCUCUUGAAAAACAUUAAUUUACUUCUAUUUAUCAGUCAAAAGACUAAAAUAAAUGGAGAUAUGAUGAUGAUAAACUUUUUAACUUUUUAGUGGUAUUUGAUAAAUAUAAAUAAAUUGAAAAUUCUCGCUUUUACUUUUUAUUGGGCAUAAGUUAAAAAUCUUACUCUCUAUUUAUUAUGCUUUAACAAGAGAAAGAAAGAAAACGGAAAACAAAUCUCUUCUAUAGCAGUCUUAAAAAAAUUUUCAGCUGAGACUUAACCCAUAAAUUUUUAAAAACUUUUUGGUGGAUUCAUAUACAUUGAACUAGUCUUCUUUCUAUAUUACAUGGAUUAAAUUUUGAAAUUAGGGCAACCUAUUGUUAAAUCUGCCUUUCAAAUUAUUGACUUAAUAUUGCCCAAAAAAAAAAAAAAAAAUUUUCCUAUUACAGAAUUUUUCAUUGUUGCAGGAAACUGGAGUCGCAGCUGACAGUGCUCAAGGGCAAUCCUUAAAUUAAAUUUCAUUGCAAUCUUUGAAAUUUAAAUUAUUUGAGAAAAAAAAAAUCUUUGCAUAAUAUUGAACAACGCAUUUUCUUGUAUAAUAUCAAUGAAACAAUGCAUGUGAGGGGAAUAAAAAGAAUAAGACAGUAAUUAGCACUAUUUCAAGCAAAGAAAUCUGGGCACUAAUAUAUUUUCUCUGUUACUUUGCAAAAUUACUGCAUGUACAUGAGAUGAUUGCUUGCUACUGUAGUAUUGUGUAAGGUGAAACAUUUGAAGAAGAAUCCUUCUAAACUGGUAGUGUUGGUCGUUGUUGUCCUGCCGAGGAAGUGUCAUUAGAUUGAAACCUACUGCAAAUAUUGAUACAAAAUGGCUUCAAGGUUUCGUUGUAGAGCUGACGACAAGCUUCUGUAAGCAGCGCCCCAUAUUGAUGCACAACAAUGAUAAUGGACGAGCAAAGCCAUGCAGUGUACAAUAUGAUAUGACCAAUAUCAGAGCGUGGAACAAAUGUGGAGGCUAGCGAGACUGCAGAAACAGAUCCGGAGACUCGUGCUACAAGGGCCCAAGAUUGGGAAGAAUUCUCUUGAUGAGCUAAAUGUGCAUAACAAUAAAUGGCUGUGGUUAUGAGAAAAGACCAUAUAUUUGUUGUGUGUGUUUCAAGCAAGCGCUCAGUUGUGCCUUGCGUAUUUGCUCCCACGAUGCCGAUGAGAGCUGGAAUGAGAUAUCCAAACACGUUAUGGUAUGCGUUUGACAUCGCAGAUAAAUAAAAUUUGUUCCUGCAGAACCAUUAAAAUACUAUAUUAAGGAAAGUAUUAGAUCCAUUCCUUUAGAAAAACAGGAAUUUAAGAGAUCAUUAUGUAUUUAGUCUCAUUUAAUAUUAGUUUAAUUUUUUCAAGUCAUAGUUAUUGUGAAAAAAAAAUUAUUAAAUACUUUUAUUGAUUGGUAAGGAUUUAAAAAGGAAAUUUGGGAUUUUUUUUUUGUUUUCUUGUGAACAUUGACGGUAUAUAUGUAGGGUAAAGUUUUAUUUUUAAAUACACGUUGUGGCUCAGGUCAGAGAGAGAAGGGAGACGGUCAAGAUUGCUGGGUUGACUUUCUUUUCCCGUCAGCCAUUUUGUAAUAGAUUGAUCAGAGCAAUCAUUACCUGCAAAACUUAACACAGCACCAAAUUAACAACCAACAUUUCAAUUGAAACAAAUCUACUUGAAAAUAAAAGAAAAAGCAACUCCAAAUCAAAAUCGAAAUGAAACCUUAUCAGAGAGACAGCCGCAAGUAUGAAGAGACAAGCACGAUCCUGAAGGACUAUUACUCCAAAUCAAAAUCGAAUUAUAAGAGAGAAAGCCGCAAGUACGAAGAGAGAAGCGCGAUCCUAAAAGAUCUGAAGUCGUGUUGUAUAUAUGUCUUGUAUAGAUUGACAGAGCAAUCAAAGGCCGUGUCGACCAGAGCAAUCGAAGAGUAGAAGAGAUAAGAGAGGAAAAAAGAAGAAGAGGAGAACUGCAGCAGCAAAUGAGCAAGGGCAGUAUUUAUAGGACAAACUGAGGCCUAUAAAGGGUCCACUAGUGGACCAGAGCAAUCAAAUGUGGAUUUGAGACUAAAUAUCGACGAAGCUUUUGUGUAUAUAUUGUUUUCGUGAACUUCUCAUCUUUUAUUUAAUUGAAUUGAUAAAGGUAAUGCGAUGGAGUUGGAGUUUUACAAAGUAACUCCAAAUUUUACAAAGUAACAUCGAUAAAGUAGUAACAUCGAUAAAGUAACAUCGAUAAAGUAAUAUUGUAAGUAAGGAAAAAAGCCAAUAUUUUCCAUGUUAGGAACAUCGAUAAAGUAGUAUCAUGAUCUUCAAAUUCAAUAAUUCGGUACUGGAUUUUUUAAUAGCUGAUGGUGGUGGAAUUUCUGCAUGAAAAAGGUAGGAUAUAAACCAGAAAAAUCAAUAAAGCAUGUCAUGCAUGUUACAUUGCUACUCCAAGCGAGUAAAUUUUUCUACAUCGGAUAUGACUUGUUACGAUCAAGUUAAUAAAAGUUCAAAUCAAGAAAGAAAUCUCGACGUAGACUAUGUCGUGGACAGCGGGACACGUAUGAUGAAUCAGAUGCUGGUUACUCUUCAUAUAGUUCCUGUACAACAUAAUGAUUACUUACAAUAUUACUUUAUCGAUGUUACUUUAUCGAUGUUACUACUUUAUCGAUGUUACUUACUUUAUCGAUGUUACUACUUUAUCGAUGUUACUUUUCAAGUAGAUUUGUUUCAAUUGAAAUGUUGGUUGUUAAUUUGGUGUUGUGUUAAGUUUUGCAGGUAAUGAUUGCUCUGAUCAAUCUAUUACAAAAUGGCUGACGGGAAAAGAAAGUCAACCCAGCAAUCUUGACCGUCUCCCUUCUCUCUCUGAACUGAGCCACAACGUGUAUUUAAAAAUAAAACUUUACCCUACAUAUAUACCGUCAAUGUUCACAAGAAAACAAAAAAAAAAUCCCAAAUUUCCUUUUUAAAUUCUUACCAAUCAAUAAAAGUAUUUGAUAAUUAUUUUUUUUCACAAUAACUAUGACUCGAAAAAAUUAAACUAAUAUUAAAUGAGACUAAAUACAUAAUGAUCUCUUAAAUUCCUGUUUUUCUAAAGGAAUGGAUCUAAUACUUUCCGUAAUAUAGUAUUUUAAUGGUUCUGCAAGAACAAAUUUUAUUUAUCUGCGAUGUCAAACGCAUACCAUAACGUGUUUGGAUAUCUCAUUCCAGCUCUCAUCGGCAUUGUGGGAGCAAAUAUGCAAGGCACAAAUGAGCGCUUGCUUGAAACACACACAACAAAUAUAUGGUCUUUUCUCAUAACCACAGCCAUUUAUUGUUAUGCACAUUUAGCUCAUCAAGAGAAUUCUUCCCAAUCUUGGGCCCUUGUAGCACGAGUCUCCGGAUCUGUUUCUGCAGUCUCCUUGAUCUCCACAUUUGUUCCACGCUCUGAUAUUGGUCAUAUCAUAUUGUACACUGCAUGGCUUUGCUCGUCCAUUAUCAUUGUUGUGCAUCAAUAUGGGGCGCGGUUUACAGAAGCUUGUCGUCAGCUCUACAAUGAAACCUUGAAGCCAUUUUGCAGUCAGCUCUAUAACGAAACCUUGAAGCCAUUUUGUAUCAAUAUUUGCAGUAGGUUUCAAUCUAAUGACACUUCCUCGGCAGGACAACAACGACCAACACUACCAGUUUAGAAGGAUUCUUCUUCAAAUGUUUCACCUUACACAGUACUACAGUAGCAAGCAAUCAUCUCAUGUACACGCAGUAAUUUUGAAAAGUAACAGAGAAAUCAUAUUAGUGUCCAGAUUUCUUUGCUUGAAAUAGUGCUAAUUACUGUCUUAUUCUUUUUAUUCCCCUCACAUGCAUUGUUUCAUUGAUAUUAUACAAGAAAAUGCGUUGUUCAAUAUUAUGCAAAGAUUUUUUUUUUCUCAAAUAAUUUAAAUUUCAAAGAUUGCAAUGAAAUUUAAUUUAAGGAUUGCCCUUGAGCACUGUCAGCUGCGACUCCAGCUUCCUGCAACAAUGAAAAAUUCUGUAAUAGGUAAAAAGUCUCUUUUUUGGCAAUAUUAAGUCAAUAAUUUGAAAGGCAGAUGUAACAACAGGUUGGCCUAAUUUCAAAAUUUAAUCCAUGUAAUAUAGAAAGAAGACUAGUUCAAUGUAUAUGAAUCCACCAAAAAGUUAUUAAAAAUUUAGGAUUUAACACUUGGAAAUGGCAAUUAGGUACUACCUCAAGAGAUUUUACAGCUUGAACCAACCAAGGGGGUAUGUUUGCAAUUGCUGUGACUAAGUAUAAAUAGAUGGUUGGUCAGUGGUAAGAACCAGCCUUCUAGCAUCUUUAGGCACAAAGAACUCAAGAAAAAACCCCACAUGAGACACAAGACCCAAUGCUCAGCAUGCAGCAAGCUUAUCUAGAUUCAGGUGCUUUAAGAAUCAAAUUCACAUUACAUGAAAAGUUCACUAUUCAGAAUGGCACUCUGUAUGACAGCAAAGAGAUAAGUGGAAGAAAAAAAAUCUGAAAAUCAACAUACCUUUUUCUUUGUGAUUAGGUAGUCGAACCCCACUAACUCGCUUAUUUCAAGCAGCCAGGUCAGCUCAACACGGUCGUCUUGUAUCCUUCAAGAUGCACAACCCUUGUGAAAUUUCCAUCCUGGUUCCUACUAAUUUGCUCCACAAUUGCAUUCCCAAUCUAUUUAUGUGAAUCGUAUUUCCAGAGAUCAACUCGGCAUUGGCAAGGUCCAUCCAUAUUGUUUUUGCAUAUGUUGUAGCUUUCACUCCUACACCUUUACGCGUCUUAUGCCUCAGUUUGAUGCGAACUCAUGGUUUGUCAAGGCCAUUGGUAAGAGUCAGUCAGUCAGCAAUAGUAAUAUCUGCCUUUCUUCAAUCACAGCAGCGAGUAUAGGGCACGCAGGAUUAAUAAUCUUCUUAUUAAUAUAGUAGUUCAAAGUUUGUCACAUUCCAAAUGGUUGAGACUGUUUGAAGCCACCAGAAAAAGUAAAUAUACAAAAGUCAGUCUUCCACUUAACUGAUAGCAAAUACUAUAUGAAAUAUGAAAAAUUACUUCAGCUACAUUGUCUUACCAGUUCAAGGAUAAACUGCAACAGAGAUUCAAUUUUCAGUCUCCUACGAAUAAUUCUUUGGAGGGCCAAAAAAAGAGGAUUAUCUAAUCCAUUAUGUACAAACCACAAAAGCUUGCUGAGAGGCAUAUUACACCAUUUUCAACCAGUUAAACUCAUAAAUUUGAACCUUUAUACUCUCAUAUCCUCUUGAACCAUAUGGUAUUGGGCAUUACGAGCAUUGUACUCACCAGAUCUCAAACUAAAAGACAUGAAAGUUAAUCCAUAAGGUAGGUAUAUCUUGUAAUUUGACCUGAUUUGAUCGUGGGAUCUGGGCUGCAACAACUGGACGGGAUCUCAAAGGGACUUGCUGGAAUCUUGCAUGUUCAACUUCCUGCUACGACACCACUAUUAACAUCCCAAUUUUCUUAUGAAAACACACGGAGAUAAUAGAAUGAUAUCUCAAUGCUUCAAGCCAUUCACAAACAUUUUCCAUGUAAUUGGUUGCAAUAUCAGACGAGCUUAAUCCUGCCACCAAUAAUCUGCUUCACCUUGAAGCACGAAUAAGGCAAACACGCUAUCCUCCACUCGUCAUUCGGCCUCAACAGAUCACUGGGGGAAGGUUAAAGCUCGUGUGAUGAGUUGUUAAAGGGAAAAUACCCAUUUUGAUAAAUAUGCCAAGAAGAAAUCACUACAGUCAAAGGGUAUAAAUAUCCUAAUACAAGUCUAUGUGAUCAUUUCUAAAACCACGCAAAGAAGUCGGUGUCCUUUCCCCACAACAAUAAAUAGAAAUCACCAUACUUCCAUGAUUAUCCAAAGAGCGCGAACCCUGCCACAUCAUAAAAACUAUUAUAAAUCUAUUUACAGAAUUUCACCAAAUCAAGAAUAAACUUGACUGAAAGGAGGCAUCGUGUGAUAUUUGCAUCCCCACAAUUUCUUAUCAGAUUCGAUUCAUAAAACAAAUAGGAACACAUAUAAAAUUCAAAUAAAAUUCUUUCAAAAAAAAUUUCAGUGCAGUGGAAUUGAAUUAAUCUGAAGGAAAAAAAAAUGGUUGGUAUGUGGAAAUUAUACUUGAAACGUUGUCGUUUUUGGCAUAAUUGCUGUGAUAUAUUUAUUUGUUUGUGUUUUUAUUUCUUUUUUCUGGGUUUUAGGGUCACAAUCGGAGAGAGAAGACAAGGUCUCGUUGGAACUCUCUGAAGAAGUUCUUCAGAGCAUGGAAAUGGGCAUUUCUUUUAGAGAUUAUGUAAGAGAAUCUUCUAAUAAGUUUCUGUCUGAGGAACAUACUUGAUUUGCGUUUUAAAUGUAUCUGUUUGUUAAUUCAGUGUCGUUUUGUAUUGAUUCGUACUGUAACAGAAUGGGAGAAUUAUUAGUUCCUUGGAUCUUCAUAAAUCAUCGAGUUAUUUGGUGACGGCUAGUGAUGAUGAAUCUAUACGGCUGUACGAUGUCUCUGCUGCCACGUAAGUUGAUCCUCUGUUUCUUAGGAUUUUAUGUUGUCUCUUGGGAAGUGCUUUUAACUAAGAAAUGGCUUUUGAAUAAGCAUAAAAAGCUGGUUUCAAUCUUGCAAUGUUUGUUUGAAAUUGCAGGAAUAAUAAAGUGUCUUUUGAAAUCAAAGGAACCCUUGAAGUGUUUUUCUGGGGAAGUGCUUGAUAUCUGCUUUCAUGGAUAGAACUUUUUGGAUUAGGAAACCACUUGUAGUGCUGUUUGAAGAAGUGCUUCAUAUAUGUUUCAAAGUGAUUUUACUCGAGGGUACUUUCCAUUAAAGCACUGCUGAACGUAUCCUCUGCGUGUUUGAUGAGCUCAUGAAAGCUACUGUCUUUCUAAGAUGGAGAAAAAUGCUUUUUAGAUGAAACAGAAAAAAAAAAAAAGGAGAACCUUGGAGUGGUUUUCAGGGAGGUGCUUAAGGGAAAUGUAAUUGAUAUAUUUUUCAAGAACUUUUGUAAAAGGGCCUUUUCUUUUUCUUUUUUGUUUUGUUUGCAUAAGCUCUUUCUAUAAGAGCACUGCCAAAUGCACUUCAGUUGUCUUAGCUGAGCUCAUGAUAGUUGGUAUUGCAAUUGUUGCUGAGAGCCUUAAUUGAAAUUUCAGAUGUUUGAAGACAAUUAACAGCAAAAAAUAUGGGAAUAUUUGUGUUUUGUUUGUUGGUGGAUUGCUUUACUAGGCACUUAUUUGAUACGUUCAUUUAUUCAGAAUCUCUACGGCUUCUUUCCUCGCACGAUAACAAGUACUUGCGUUACUUCAAAGGUCAUCAUAACAGGUUUGUAAUUCACUUAUUCUUGUAAAUAUUUCGUAAUUAUUAUUAUCUGUAUUAUGUUUUACUGCUUCUAGGGUUGUUUCACUUAGCCUGUGCUCCUCCAAAGAUUGCUUUAUCUCUGGUUCUCUUGGUCAAUCUGUUCUGCUCUGGGAUCAACGGGCUGAGAAAUGCUAGGUGGAUAUCAUGCCAUCCACCAUUUUCAAUUGUAUUUAUGAUCUCUGUUGGCAAAUACGGGUCUUUUGCGUGUUCAAGGAAGGCCUGCUACAGCAUAUGAUGAUCAAGGGCCUGUCUUUGCAGUUGCCUUUGGAGGAUACAUAAGAAUGUUUGAUGCUCGUAAGUAGGAGAAGGUUAAAAUUAAUAUUUAAGAACAUCUUGGAAGUUUAUAUGUCGUACUUUUAUCAUGCACUAAUUUGGUUAAAUUUGGAUACAUCUUCUCUGAUGGUGGAGAUGUAUCAGAUUCUGAUGCUGUAAAGUUCAGCAAUGAUGGGAGACUUAUGCUUCCGGCCUCUAUGGAAGGACAUAUUCAUGUGCUUGACUCAUUCCAAGGCACACUUGUGAGUUGACUUUUUCUUUCUUCAUCUCCCAAAUGUAACAUAUUGUACGUAUAUACCCCUCUAUACACUGGAAUCUCUGUUAAUGAGCUUCUGUUUACUCUUGUUUUUAUUUAUCCACUUAUGAUGCCAAGCCAGUUUCUCGCAAUUCCACAUUGGAGGCAUCUUUCAGCCCGGUAGAGUUUCUCCUUUCAGUUCUUAGGGCACGGUGACUUGGAUAUUUUGUUAAUAUUUGCUUUUGACUGUUUUGAUAAUUUAUAUUAAAGUUCUUGCACUUGUGCUGUAUAUAAUUCUCAAAUUUGUUACCACCUUGUUGGUAUAUUGAAAUACACGACUUGAAAUGCUGGGCAUCAAGCUUGUUUCCGCAGAAUUCUUUGAAAUAAAUUCAUUUUCUCUUCUUCAUUGACUUGGUUUGAAACCCACUCCCAUCCAUGCAAAUCCAAAUGCGUACGUAUUUUCAUCUGGUUGUGCUUAUUAAUGAAAAUAAAUCAAUGAAAUGCUCAAACAGCAAGUGCACCCACACAUGUGGAAGCAGCCUAGUGUGGCCAAGCACCUCUCAUUCGUUUUAUGUGAUACAAUUGGUUUGUUGCACUCUUUGUGCUAAUUUUACUUUCUCGGUUUGGAAGGUUCUGAUGAUGGCAGUGGAUAUGCUUGGACUGUACGGAGCGGGAAAGGGGUAUGAUAAGCAAAAUUCCUUGAUUCUCAUGCCUUUUGAAUGCUUAAAAUUCAAAGGGAUGUUAUUUCCCUUACAUUGACCCCAGUCAUAGCAUUCAUUGUCUUCUAGCCAAACCAACAAUGCUUUUGAAUCUACAUUUGAGCAUUUACCUUAAGCACCAGUUUGCAUAAUGAGUUCUGUAUCCAAAUACUAUAUUCUUUUGACAUUGGUAUUGUUAUUAUAUAAACAUUGUUUGGUUUUGUUUAUUUUUCUUGUCAGGGGUGCAAGUUGGAUGAGUUUUCAUAGAGAGCCUCCUGUCAUAAAAUGGGCCCCCGGAAGUCUCAUAUUUGUUACGGGGUCAUCUGAGCUAUCAUUUUGGAAUCCUAAUGUGUCUAAACUAGGAGCUUACGUUGGGAGGAAGUAAAGUUUCUAACACUCAGCACCCUUAAGUAUCUGAAUAUUGAUGUCUAUCUAUUGCCGGGAGGGGAACUUGUUUGUAAGGAGAUGUUCAAUUUCCUAUAGUAGUAUGUAAAUGCAUCUGACUUCCCUGCUAGUAACCUUUCCUAACAAGUUCUGAAGAAACAACAGUAGAUCUGGUAUCAGUACUUAUUCAGAAGAGCAUUUCUUCUUACAUGCACAGCUAAGAGUACAUGAAUUGAGCUACUGAAGCCCUUCCUGACCAACCUGGCUAAGGCUCCUUUCAGUUUGUCCUCUUCAUGGUUCUUUGGCAGGCAACAGCGUAAGCAAUUACCUGGACUAUGAGGCCUUUUGUAGCGGGGUGGGCACUGCCUAGGCAGUUUUUGAAAAAACUAGGAGCUUUAUUUGUCAUUGACAUUUGUAGCACGAUUAGUUAUUACCUGGAUUAAGUUGUAUAUAUUACAUCGUAUACCUAAUCUGACAAAUAACAGGUUGCAAUCCAAGUUUUGUUGAUCAUGAAGGGUUUGAGCAUGAUAGUCCAUUUAGGUCAUUAGGUCUCCCUCGAAUUGCCACGUACACACUUCAAUCCUCUCAACGAGCGUCCCCGCAACGUCACACUCCACAUAAUCUCAAAUAAUUUAAAACAAUUAUAUACUUCUGGCUGCUCUUAUCUCCCUUCUCACCAACCGAGUCACUGGUUGGUUACAUUUUACUAACACCGCCGAAUGAGAGAUCAUAAUCCCUAUUACGUGUCCACCCUAACUGAUCACAACAUUGUCAUUUUUGAUCAUUCACAAAGAGAUUAAUUAACUCGGCAUGAUCUGCAAGGUCUGUCCCAAUUGUGUUUGUGUAUAUAUAUUUUAGCUUUCUCUCCUACACCCAGGCUUUAUGCCUCUCGUGCCUCAGUUUGAUGUGAAGAAAUGGUCCAUCAAGGCCAUUGGUAAUAGUCAGCAAUAGCAAUAUUGCCUUUCUUCAACCACAGCAAUGUUUAUUGGGUACGCAGGAUCAAUUAUCUUCUUAGUAAUUAACAUAAUAAUAUAUUAUGUUAAUAAAUGUGUUGUUUUCAAUAGAUUUUGGGGUAGGAAAAGUCAAAUCAAUCUAGAACAAUGAAUUUGUAUUUUUGGGGGAGACGGGGUACCUCACUUGUUUGUUGUGUGCGAUGUGGUGUAUCUAAAAUCCGAGGGAGGUGAGAAGCGGAGAGAGAGUGGUAACAAUGGUGAAAGGUCAAAACCAAGAGAGAUAUUCUUCAAAAUGAGCUUCACACCUGCAAAACAGUGAAAUAGAGGUUAGAGGUGAAGUCGGGGUAUCCCGGCGUUCAUACUCUGACGCUCAAGUUAGCAAACUCAAGCUUUUAUGGUCAAGAGAGCAGGCUAGCCCUCUGUAAAUUAGGGUUUACGAUUGAAGAAAACCUAUUUUUUGGAGUGUAAGUGUUAAUGGUGAGUGAGAACAUGAUGGAGAAUGAAACCUAGGCACCUUUAUAUAUGGAGUACCUCAGCAGCCACGUGGCGUACCCUUUUUGGCUAACGUCCUUUACAUUUUUAUGAUUUUUGGGCCGUAAUGUGCAUGUUCGCGGCGUAUCUCAUCUUUUGGAGACGUGGCGCACGCUGGAGAGUGGUCCAAGGUACCUCUGCAGUAGCUGUCGGGUAGGUGGCUGAGGACCACUGUCCUUGGGACAAUGUCCUUCACUUUUGGCAAAGGUAGCAGACGGCUGUCCCCCCCCAUUUGGUACGACGUUUUUUAUUCCUAAUUCUGACAAAAUCAAAUAUUAUCCUUCAAGAUAUGGAGAUAUUUCCUAUGGCGGACUUUUUCAGAGGAUUCUCCUGAGUCGGACCUGUCGGGUACCUCAAGUUAUUUGAGGUACCCCGAUCCAUGUGAGGUACCUCGAGUUAAUCUGGGGUGAAGUAGGGUAUCUCUAAUUAUGCUGGGUACAUUUAAUUAUGCAGAGUACCUCAAAUCAUGUCGGGUACCUCGAAUCAUACGGAGUAGCUCGAGUUAUCCCGGGUAUCUUGAAUUGUGCUGGAGUUAUUCCGGGUACCUCGAAUUAUACGGGGCACUCCAAUCUAUACGGGGUACCUCGAGUUACUCUGGAGUUAAGUGGGGUAUCUUUAAUUACUCCGGGUACCUUUAAUUAUUCGGGGUACCUCUAAUCAAGCCAGGUACCUCUAAUUACAUCGGGUACAUCUAAUUAUGCGGGGUGCCUCUAAUCAAGUCGGGUACUUCUAAUUACGCGGGGUACCUCUAAUUGCGCGGGGUACCUCUAAUCAAGCCAGAUACCUCUAAUUACGCCGAGUACCUCUAAUCAUGCGGGGUACCUCUAAUCAGGCAGGUACCUCUAAUCACGCCGAGUACCUCUAAUCAUGCGGGGUACCUCUAAUCAGGCAGGUACCUCUAAUCACGCCGAGUACCUCUAAUCAUGCGGGGUACCUCUAAUCAGGCUGGGUACCUUGAGUUAUUCUGAGUACCUUGAAUUAUGUUGGAGUUAUUCUGGGUACCUUGAAUUAUGCUGGAGUUAUUCUGGGUACCUCGAAUUAUACGGGGUACCCCAGUCUAUGCGGGGUACUUCGAGUUACUCUGGAGUUAUGCGGAGUACCUCUGACCGUGCCGAGUACCUCAAAUAAUGGCAGGUACCUCUAAUCGUGCGGGUUAUCUCUAAUCAUGUCGGGUACUUCGGAUUGUACUGAAGUUAUUCCAUUCGUCGACACGUGGCGUUCUGCUAUCUUUCUUAUUUUUCCCCCAAACAACAUCCCCCUAGUUUCUUUUGGCGAGAAGUAUUGGAGACAAAAGAAAUUUACAUAAAAAGUAGGAGCGACACGUGGCGAUAUGAAGUUUAGCUGGAUGGGCAGCUGAAUAAAGGACGCCUCUAGGGGUACCCUCAUGAAGGGAAGAUCUCUGGAGUGAACAAGACUUUGAGGGGACACUUUGAUGAAGUUUCAGAGGGGAAGGCCCAUAAGGUGGAAGACCCUAAGAAGCUUUAAGUUAAGCUUGAGGACUUGGUACCUCGACAAAAGAACAUAGUUGACAAUGCUUUUGAGCGCAUCAUGACCGAGGAAUGGAGUGUUGAUAUGGGGCUGGUGGUGCCAAGAGUAGAGAACUAGGUAGAUAAGCCGGCUAUCUUGAAGGCAAUUGAGAAUAGCAGGGCUCCCCACACAUCUUGGUCUGAAAGCCCAUGGAGAUCAACUGGAUUACCUCAGAUGAAGUCACCAUAAGGUACCCCUGAUACCGACGCUUGCGUUUAUGCUAUUUCUAGCACUUUUGUUGAUCCCCUUAUCCUAAAUGAUGAACGUGAAGAUAACCAUCCUACUAUGUAACAUUGUUUGGCAUUACCGACAAGGCGUAUGGGGUACCUCGGGUACCCUUAAGCUUGGAUAUCCCCUGAGUUAUCUAUUACUUCAUGGCGGGAUAACCCAACUUUAUCAAACAUAUGACGAUUCCUUCAAAUAUGCUUGUUGUUUAUCUCAAGCUUUCUUAGAGUUCCUCUUAGUGUACACGAGAAAUAGUUUUCUGUCAUAGGGUACCCUGAGUACUAUGGGUACCCUUAAUCUUGUCUCAUCAGUGUAUCGCGGUUUACUUAGACAUGUUGUUGCGGUUAAUUCAUGGCGGAACAACCUAAUUUCAUCAAGCUUUCUUAGGAUUCCUCUUGGUGUAUUUGAGGAGUGACUUUUUGGCGUAAGGUACCUCGGAGGUACCCUUAAUUAGUGUAUAGCGAUUUUCAUAGAAAUGCUUGCCGCAAAUCUUCACAAAACUUGUGGCAAUUCCUUUUGAGAGAUGAUGGAAAACCUCAUGAUCCACCAUUCACUCUACAUCAAAUAUGCAAGAUAAAUAGUAAUAUAGGUGAGCUGUUCGCCUACCCUUAUGCAAAAUGGUUGAAAAUUUCACGAUCCGCCAUUCGCGUGGAAUCAAAUAGACAACAUAGAUUACGGGUGGACGCGGUUCGGUUCGGUUUUUUACUAUAUUUUUCAUAAUCGUUCGAUUACGAUUAUUUUAAAAUCAUAAUCGCGAUUAAUCAAAUUACCGAAAUAAUCAAAUACUCGAUUAAUUGAAAUAAUUCGAUUCGGUUCGGUUCGAUUAUUUUGAUUAUGGGCCUAUUUUGGGCUUUUUCAAAUUUAAAACCUUAAAUUAAUAAAUCUACAACAAACAUAAAAAAUUAACAAACAAAAAAUCAAAAUAUGUCUCAAACAAUGUUCAAUAACACAUAACAUGUUCAAAUAACAAGUUCCAAUAAAAAUAAAUCAUAAUCUCAAUUACUCCUCAGCUUCUUGUUCUUGUUGAGCUACUAUUGGCCUACCAAAUUCUACAUUAACAAAUUAAACAAAAAUAUUAGAAUGAUUAUUUAAGAGUGAAAUAACCAAAACAACAUAUCAAAAUAUAGUACUAACAUAUUACCUGCUUUAAUAAUUUCAUAGAAUUCAGUUUCCUCCUAAGUAGGUUGUGUUAUCCGUUCUCUUAAUAGAGUUGAGCGAAGCCAAUUUUGAGUGCAAAUUAAUGACUCAACAGUUUUAUGAGUUAAAAAACUUCUAAAGGGAUCAAGAACACGCCCUUCUGUGCUAAAUGCCGAUUCCGAAGCUACAGUAGACACUGGAAUUGCCAAAACAUCUUUGGCAAUCUGAGACAAAAUCGGAUACCUAUGUCCAUUCAACUUCCACCAAGCCAAAAUAUCAAAAUGGGCAUUACUAGUACUCUCAUUAGCAUCCGUCAAGUACUUUUCAACAUCAUUUUUCGAACAAAUGUCAUCAUUUGAACUUUGCUUUAUUAUUUUGAAAGAUGAAAAAAGAUCAAUUGACAUUAUACUACUACUAGCACUAGCACCAGCACCACCACCACCACCACCACCACUACUACCAUUAUGGAUAUCACCAUAACAAACACCACCACUAUUCCUCACAUCACUCCCACCAAUAUAGCUAUUAUAUAGCUUCAUCAACAACUCUUUAAUGUUAGAUUUCAAUUCUUCAACCUUUCUAGAUUUAUACAUGUUACUAAAACAAAAUGUAACAAACUCCAAUUUACAUCUAGGAUCAAGCACAUUUGCUACAAAUAAUAACAUGUUAACCUGAUCAAAGAAUUACCCCAAUAUUUAGCAAACUUUUGUUCUAUUUUUUCGGCCAUUUUUCUUAACAAAUCAUCACUAGAAGUAGCAAGUGACUUCAAAUGAAUUAGAACUCUUGCCAUUUCAUUUAAGUAAUCAUUGGAAGUGACAUCAAGAGAGCUACUAAAUUUCAAGGUCACACAAUAAAAAACCGAUAAAAAAUUUACUAACCUCUUUGCAUUUCCCCAAUCGUCAUCGCUCGGUGGCCCCUCCCUCUUCUUUUCACCCUCCUCCUCAACAAACCAAAUAACAUAAUGUCCAUCAUCUUCCUUCAUCCUAUCAAAUGCUUUUUCAAACACAACCGCUUUAUGCAACAUCAAAUAUGUUGAAUUCCAUCUAGUAGGCACAUCCAACACCAUAAGCCCUCCAUAUGAGAUUUUCUCCCUAUCAACACAUGUUUUAAACUUUUGCAAUCUUGCUGGAGAGGAUCUAACAUACUUUACUGCAUUGCGAAUACUAGCUAUUGAAUUAUUCACCUCUACCAACCCAUCUUGCACAAUCAAAUUUAUUAUGUGUGCCGAACACCUCACAUGCAUAUAUAAACCAUUCAAAAUCAUUGAAUUCACACUCCAAUUUGCUAACUUCUUCUUCACAUAAGUUAUUGCAACUUUAUUGGCACUUGCAUUGUCCACUGUAAUUGUGAACAACCUCUCAAUCCCCGAAUCAAUCAAACAUGUCUCAAUUAGCUUCCCAAUACCAUCUCCUUUAUGAUUAGCUAUAGGUGUGAAACUAAGAAUUCUUUUGUGCAACACCCACUCCGCAUCAAUAAAAUGAGCAGUAAUGACCAUGUAGUUAGACAUUUGAAUUGAUGUCCACGUGUCUGUGGUAAUACACACCCUCUGCUUGCUUGCACCCAAGACACUUUUUAACAACCCUUUUUCAUGCUGAUACAAUUCAAGAAUAUCCCUUGUAAUUGUUCUUCGCGAUGGCACAUCAAAUCUUGGGCAACAAGUUUGCAUAAACUCUAAAAACCCUUUGGCCUCCACAAAGCUAAAAGGUAAUUCAUCCUUGACAAUCAUCUUCACAAGUGCCAUUCUACAAGCCUCUUGACUAAAUCUGCCACUAACUUUAACAACUCCAUCAUCUUUAUCUUUUCCCUUUUGACGGAAAAGUACUUGUUGCUUCGGAUCCCCUUCAACCUUCACAUCUUGAUAUAACCUACAUCUAUCCAAAUGAUUCUUCAAAUUAGUGGUAUUUCCUCUAUUAGCUGCAAAGGUUUUAAGACAAUGAUGACAUUUUCCUUUGUUUCCACAAGAUAGUUUGGUAAAAUGAGCCCAUUUGAUCUCAAAGGUAUUUUUCUUUUUUUCCCAUCAUCAACCUCCACCUCUUGCACUUCCUCCUCAUCAUAAUUUUCCAUUCUACACAAAAAAAAAUCAACACCACAGCAGCAACAAAUCAACACAACAGCAGCAACAAAUAAAAAAUCUUGGGGAUUAACCAACCAUUUAAAGACACUUAGCAGAGGGUCGUGACUAGAACUUUUUUUUAAUAAUUUUGGCAUUGUUGUUGUCUAAUGUUGCCCAUUUAUGAAAGCAACAAAUUUCUUGUGAAAAUAUUAUAUAGAAAUGAGCUUUCAAUAAUUGUUUGAAUAAAAAAUUUUGGAAGUGGGACAGUCCUUGAAGAGUUGAAAACAUUGAUCAAGAUAGACUACUUGUACUUUGCUUAUAUUAAUGAUCACGAGUUUAAUUUAGAGAUUUGAGCCCAAGUCCCUCCAUUUACAUUAUUAAUCAUUUUUUUUAUUAACGCUAAUUGAUUAGAGGAAUGUGAUAAUGAAAAGAUGAAAAUACCUGCUCAAAUGCUUUGCCGAGUACAUACUUACAAAUCCACUAGUUUAGCUUUUAAUCACAUAUAUAAACCACCAUCGUCACAAAAUUAUCAUAUAUUACACAAUAAUCAAAGCAAAUUAUUGAAAAUCUAUGAAGCUAACCAACUCGGCUCAUCUAAAUCUACUCCAACAGUAAACACUCACAAGUCCAACAACGUUAAACUCUGUUUCAAGUUUUACUGUUUUUACUCUCGGCAUGAGCACAUCAUCAUGUGAAACCAUUAAAAUCCAAGUAAUAGCAAACUCACAAGUUGUAGCUUCGUGGAGAUCACUCGGCGACGAGCAGCAGCGGCGACGCGGCAGCAACAACGAUGGGCACGAGCAGCGGUAGCAGCAGCGACGGGCACGAGCAGCGGCAGCAGCAGCGACGGGCACGAGCAGCGGCAGCAGCAGCGACGGGCACGAGCAUCGGCAGCAGCCGCGGCGGGCACAGCGGCAGCAGCAGCUACGAGCACAAGCAGCGGCAGCAGCAACAACGAGUUCAGGGGCUGAAGGUCACGAGUUCAGUGGCUGAAGUGAAGAUCAGUUUACUCACUUUAGGUUUAGUUUAGGGAUUCCGGAUUAUUAUUCGGUUUAUUUGAUACUCGGUUCGGUUUUUCAGUUUUUUUUUUAAACCGAAAACCGAACCGACUGGUUUUACUAUUUUCUCUAUAUUACUAAUUCGGUUUUUUGGGUGUAAAAAAUCCGUAAAAAAAUGAACCGAACCGAACGGUUCGGUUCGGUUUUCGAUUAAUCAACUUUUUUUGCCCACCCCUAACAUAGAUUAAGAUAAAGGUGGCUGCUCGCCUACCCUUAUGCAAUAUGGUCGAAAACCUCAUGAUCCACCAUUCUCUGGAAUCAAAUAGACAACAUAGAUUGAGAUAAAGGUAGCUACCCGCCUACCCUUAUGCGAGAUAGUCGAAAACUUCAUGAUCCACCAUUCGCAUGGAAUCAAAUAGACAAUAUAGAUCGAGAUAAAGGUGGCUACUCGCCUACCCUUAUGCGAGAUGGUCGAAAUCUCAUGAUCCACCAUUCGCAUGGAAUAAAAUAGACAACAUAAAUAAAUAUGAAGGUGGCUGCUCGCCUACCCUUAUGCGAAAUGAUUGAAACCUCAUGAUCGACCAUUCGCUCAGAAUCAAAUAUGGCGAACAAAUAAUGAUAAAGGCGGACUUGAUGUUAAGUAGAUUAUCAUGAUUGGGGAUAGGUCAGGUACCUCGGGUACCUUGGAGUAAAGUGAUCUCUGGAUACCCUAUUGCAUCAUAAUAAACAAUACUUUUACUAGUAGUAUGACUUUUCUUUGUUGGAUCGGUGGCCCAAAUCGAGUCUUCAAUCGGGGUACCCCGUUUUUCAUCUUUGGGUAUUCGAGGAUCCAAAGAUGCCUCCAAUUCAAAUUUGGGCUUAAUUUGGUCCCCGUGGGGUACCCCCACAUAACUAUAGAGUAACUAGUUAUGGGGUACCCUACUAUCGAGGCCUCGGUGGUGGCUCUCGCUGAUCCGGUGGUGGCGAUCUUGGAGGUUGGGGUACCCUUGAGGUACCCUGAGCGUUAUACCCUCGUCCCCGCAGGGCAGCCCGUGGAGGGCUCCGUGCUCGGGGUACCCGUGGUAUUGGAGCCUUCAUCCUCUUGGGCUUUUCCUUGUUCUUUGUAACAUCGGCUUUAUCUUCUUCGCGCUUCAAUUGGCAUUUCUCGUCCAUCUCCACCUGCUGCAAUGCCCGGGAACGGGCUUCCCCAUAUGAAAGUGGGCGCUUCUUUUGAAAGGAACGCCAUAACAUGCCCAACCGUAAAUUUUUCUCAAAAUGGGUCAUUGUGUAUUAGUUUCCAAAUGCUCCGGUUCGCAGCACCUCUUGGUGGAAACGACUCACAUACUUCGCUAAAGGGUCGGCUUCCCCUUGCUUGAUAAAGGCAAGUUUAGAGGCUACCCUAUCUUGAGUGGAAGCAUAGGAAACGCUUUCGUAAAUUCGGAUAACAAUUGGUAUAGGGAAGAUAUGCUACCCGUUUUCAAAUAGUGAAACCAUGACUUCGCGGGGCCCGUGAGUGAGUGUGUAAACAUCCUACACAUGGCGCUCUCAUCUAUACCCUUGAUAAGCAUUUGAUCGCGAUAUAGCUCAGCAUGCUCCGAGGGAUCAGUGGUACCCAAGUAUUAGGGUAUCUGAGGCAUGGCGAACGCCUCGAGGAGAGCUGCCGUCCGAAUCUCCAUAGUGAAUGGCGAUUGGUAGGUCAUUGGCGUUGGAGCAGGUGUGAUGUUUUGCUUCUCGGAGAGGAGCUUCACUUGGGCUUCCAGGUUCUCCAUUUUUUUCACAAGUUCGAAGGGUACUCUCGGGGUACUCGAUGAUGUCACCGCCAUUUGAGAAGCCUUUUUGGCGUUUAACUUCUCACGGAGAUCCUCAUGGAUACGCUUUGCACGCCUCAUACCCUGGCUGCUACGGGAAUUGUAAGAGGCGAUGGAACGCUCAUCUCGGGAGCCCACGGUUUGAAACUUAGAACGGGUACCUGAUGGCCUAUGCUUUGGCUUACUGGCCUCGGGUACCUCUCUUCUAGCCAUAGUUUGGUCGUCCGUUUUAGGUGGUGGAGCAUCUAGCGUUACUGGUGAAAGUGAACUUUCGGGUGCCCGAGAUCCAACCGCCCUAAGUAUUGCGUGGGCAAGAUCCUCGAAACGCUUGUGAGAAAUAGGUUCCUCAUCUUGGCGAACACCCGUCGAUUGCUUGAUACCUUUGCCCUUGCUGAUGCGGGCUACCCUUCUUGCGGGAUCACUACCUUCACUGCUGCUAUCAUCUCUCAUCCUUGUAGGAUCCGCCACUAAACCUUCGGGCGGUACGUUGGGUGCCAUGUAUUGGAGUACACACAACAACUAGUUUGGUAACCGUGGUGGAGGCUUUUUGUACGCUUCCCCACAGAUGGCGCCAAUUGUUUUCGAUAGAUUUGGGGUAGGAAAAGCCAAAUCAAUUUAGAACAACAAAUUUAUAUUUUUUGGGGAGACGGGGUACCUCACUAGUUUGUUGUGUGCGACGUGGUGUAUCUAAAAUCCAGGAGAGGUGAGAAGGGGAGAGAGAGUGGUAACAAUGGUGAAAGGUCAAAACCAAGAGAGCUUCACGCCUGCAAAACUGUGAAAUAGAGGUUAGAGGUGAAGCCGGGGUACCCCGGCGUUCACACUCCGACGCUCAAGUUAGCAAACUCAAGCUUUUAUGAUCAAGAGAGCUGGCUAGCCCUAUGUAAAUUAGGGUUUAAGGUUGAAGAAAACCUAUUUUUUGGAGUGUGAGUGUUAAUGGUGAGUGAGAAUAUGAUAGAGAAUGAAACCUAGGCACCUUUAUAUAUGGAGUACCUCAGCUGCCACGUGGCAUACCCUUUUUGGCUAACGUCUUUUACCUUUUUAUGAUUUUUGGGCCGUUAUGUGCAUGUUCGCGGCGUAUCUCAUCCUUUGGAGACGUGGCGCACGCUGGAGAGUGGUCCAAGGUACCUCUGCAGUAGUUGUCGGGUAGACGGCUGAGGACCACUGUCCUUGGGACAAUGUCUUUCACCUUUGGCAGAAGUAGCAGACGGCUGUCCCCCCUUUUGGUACGAUGUUUUUGAUUCCUAAUUCUGAAAAAAUCAAAUAUUAUCCUUCAAGAUAUAGAGAUAUUUCCUAUGGCGGAUUUUUUCAAAAGAUUCUCCUGAAUCGGACCUGUCGGGUAACUCAAGUUAUAUGAGGUACCCCGAUCCAUGUGAGGUACCUCGAGUUAAUCUGGAGAGAAGUGGGGUAUCUUUAAUUAUGCUGGGUACCUUUAAUUAUGUAGAGUACCUCAAAUCAUGUCGGGUACCUCGAAUCAUGCGGAGUAUCUCGAGUUAACCCGGGUAUCUUAAAUUGUGCUGGAGUUAUUCUGGAUACCUCGAAUUAUACGGGGUACUCCAAUCUAUGUGGUGUACCGCGAGUUACUCUGGAGUUAAGUGGGGUAUCUUUAAUUACGUCGGGUACCUCUAAUUGUGCGGGGUACCUCUAAUCAAGCUGGGUACUUCUAAUUACGCCGGGUACAUCUAAUUAUGCAGGAUGCCUCUAAUCAAGUCGGGUACUUCUAAUUACGCCGGGUACCUCUAAUUGCGCGGGGUACCUCUAAUCAAGCCAGAUACCUCUAAUUACACCGGGUACCUCUAAUCAUGCGGAGUACCUCUAAUCAGGCCGGGUACCUCUAAUCACGCCGGGUACCUCUAAUCAUGCGGGGUACCUCUAAUCAUGCUGGGUAUCUCGAGUUAUUCCGAGUACCUUGAAUUAUGUUGGAGUUAUUCUGGGUACCUUGAAUUAUGCUGGAGUUAUUUCGGGUAUCUUGAAUUAUACAGGGUACCCCAGUCUAUGCGGGGUACUUCGAGUUACUCUGGAGUUAUGCGGAGUACCUCUGACCGCGCCGGGUACCUCAAAUCAUGGCAGAUACCUCUAAUCGUGCGGGGUACCUCUAAUCAUGUCGGGUACCUCGGAUUGCACUGAAGUUAUUCCAUUCGUCGACACGUGGCGUUCUGCUAUCUUUCUUAUUUUUCCCCCAAACAUGUGUACAUAAAUUUUAUUCAAUAUUUAUAGUUUUACAGCAAUUUAAUAAUAAAAUUUACCAAACAUAUACAACUAUUUUUAUAACUCACAGCUCCUUUAAAAAUAAGUUUUUGUAAACAUUUAAUUAAUUUUCUUUACAAUUAAUUAUUUCUAUAGCACAACUAACAUCAAUUAUUUUAAAAGCUACAGCAUUACCAAAUUGGCCCCUUACUCUUUCUAUCAAAAUUAUUAUUUAAAAGUUCUAAUUGCAAUACGUUAUCAACUUUUAUUUCACAUUUACAAAUUUUUUUCACAACAGCUAUAACUUAAAAGUUGCAUCAUCUUAAUACCAAAUAGGGCCAUAGUAAUUUGGGACCUUUUUUUCCCCCAUUUUUCCUCUUCUUCAGUAACUUAAAAAAAAAAACUAGAAACAAAACAGAAACAUUGAGUAUGAAAUUAAGCAUUAGUCAAGUAUGAAGUUGGGUGAGUCGAGUAUAAAAUUAAGUACUUUUGUAUAUGAUUUUAAAUAAAGGGUAUUUUAAUAUUCUUUGUGAUUUUGGAAUAUUUCUAUAAUACCAGUAAACUAUGUAAUAAGCAUAUAUUUGUUAUUUUGUUGUGAAUGGGACAUAUCUGGGGCCAUUUGCUCCCGUGACCGAUCUUUAUAACAGAUCCAAUUACCCUCGUUAUAGUCACUGGAUCGAAAGCUAACAUAGCUCAAUUCUGAUAUGUAAUGUGUGAUGGGAGAGUCACAAAUUAUUGUAUAAAUUUAUUUUAUCUAAAUUAAUUAGUAUAAAUUGAUGGAAAUAUAAAAUAAUAUAAAUAUAAAUUACGUAGACCAAAGUGUAUUUAAUAUAACUAAUAAAAUUUUACUCAACCAGUUUAUAUAAGAAUUUGUAAUUUUAUUAUUAGUCAUGGUAAUUAAACAGUGGCUGAUUGGUCAGCUAGUGGUAUAAGUGGCAACGACCAAACUGUUGAGUCUCUACGUGGGUUUUCAAAAUGAGUCAAGAGUCAAGAAAUUAGCUAUCAAGUUAUGACAAUAUUUGUAAACAUGUCUUUUAGAUGAUACAUUGUCAUAAUCAGCAUCAUAUCCUAAUUGACUAAGAAGGAUUACGAGGGAAACUAAGCAUGUGCCUUCAUUUUCACUUGAAAUAAAGCGCGAGGGAAAGAUCUCAUGUUAUCACAUGAUGCCGUGUGAUCACCUAGAAGCCCUUCCACGCAUAUUUCUUCUCAAAUUGUCUUCUUCUAAUUUCUUGGGCCAUCGCGGAACCACAAUGUCAAUGGAUGAGCGAGUGUUGCUCAGCUCGCAGCAUUUGGAGCCGGAGCUUAGCUUCCCUUAUUUGUUGGUCGUUUGGUAGGCGUCGCCAAAGGGCAAAGACGAUCCUCUGGCGUUCGUGGAGCUGGUCCUCAAUGCGAUUGAUUUCUUCUCCAAGUUGAGCAAGUCUUUGUACCAUAGCCAUAUAAUUAUUUACUUUGGACCGAUGCAAUUCUCUUCUAAAAAUUUCAAGGAGCACUUUUCAUCUGUACCCAAAUGUUUCAUCAUAAUUUUAUUGUAUACACACUUGCUUCAACAGCUAUGACGGCUCACUCUUUUUGUUAAAUAUUGUUGUUGCCAUUAAUUUUGACAUCUUUGACGUUAAAAGACAACUUUACCCUUAUUUAUAUUUUUAAUGCAAAAUUACCAAAAAACCAGAACACCAGUUUCUAAUUCCAAUUGACUUGUGGGGAUAUUAAAAUUUAAUUUUGGCAUCUUUGACAUUAAAAGAUAAUUUUACCCUUAUUUAUAUUUUUUAAUGCAAAAUUACCAAAAAAAACCACAACACAAGUUUCCAAUUCUAAUUCACCUGUGUGGAUAUUAAAAUUUCUUAAAGGUUAGAAAAAAAGUAAAAAUGUUUUGUUCAAAAUAUCCCCUAUGCCAUCAUCCAUAAACGUCCAUUCUUCAUAACAAUCUAGUAAACUUGGAAAAAGCAAGAUCCCAGUCAAUCAACCAGCCAAAAUUCUUCAUAAAGUUUAGCUUUUCUUAAAAAAUUUUAAAUCUUGAGUUAAAAAUUUUAAUUCUUGAGACCCUAAAUUAAUUGAUAAUGAAAGUCACAUGUUUCUAUAACAAAAAUCUUCAAGAAUAACAGUACAAUGAAAAUCUUCAAGUAAAUAAAAAUCUAUAUUCAUAAUAUUUAUGAAUAAAUUGUAAAUAAUAUAGAGUGGUUUACAAUUUUAUAAUGUAUUCACUAAACAGGAAUCGAAAUUAUUUGGAAACAUAAUGAGUUAGAAUCAGAAUAUGUAGAAUAGAAAUAAGGAAUUGGAAUCAGAAUAAUUUAUUUACUUGAACUGCAGGAAUCGUAAUUAGAAUGAGUCAUUUACGUGUUUACUUUGUCUUAAAAUCAAAAUUGGAAUGAGUUAAAUUGUAACAAAUUACUAUAAAAUCUAUAAUUAAUUUUUAUCAUAAUUAUUAUUUUUUAUUUUAAUUAUUGUGAUUAUUAUUAUUAAUAAAAAAUUAAUUAUUAACAAUAAUUAUUGUUAAUUAUUAUUAUUAUUAAAAAGUUAACUAAAAAGUUAUUAUUAAUUAUUGUUAAUAGAUUAAUUAAUUAUAAUACUUUUUAUUCUUGUUAAUAAUAAUAAUAAUAAUAAUAAUAAUAAUAAUAAUAAUAAUAAUCCAUUUACAAUUUAUAAUUAUAUUUAUAAUUAAGUGGAAAUUAAAGUGGUAGGUGUUAACAUAAAUUAUUCUUGAUUGAUUUUGAUGAUAACAAACAUGAUUAAGAUUGAUUAAUCGAUUUAAAAGCUCAACAUAAUUUUCAUCUAUUUUGACAAGUUUCAUAAAGUAUUUUUAUAAAGAUUUGGAGACAAAACAGUCAUCUUGCAAAAUAGUUCACUGCAGCAGUUUUUGUGGAAAACGGCGAUCCGACAUGUGUAGUAAACGGCUCGCCGAUUUCAAGCAGAAAUGGAGAUUAGCCUCUGGACGAAAACGGCACACCGACAUUUGUGAUAAACGGCUCGCCGAUAUCAACCAGAACUGAAGGGUAGCCUCUGGACCUAAACGGUGAACCAACAUGUGUGAUAAACAGCUCGCCGAUAUCAACCAGUAGCCUCUGGACCUAAACGGCGAUCCGACAUCUAGAUAACGGCGAUCCGACAUCUAGAUAACGGCGAUCCGACAAUUUGAAAAAUCAGCCCAACGGUCAUAUUGACCAGUCAAACGGCGAUCCGACAGUGUGCAGAAAGUCAAUAACGGCUAGUUUUCAGCAGCAGCUAUAAAUAAGCUCAUUCAAAUUCAAACAAAGAUUGAUCACAACACGACCAUUGAGCAAAUAUUCGAGAAUACAAUCUCCAUAGAGCUUAGAACACAUUCUUGCUUCAUCUAUUCACAUAUUAAGCAUCAUUGUGUAAUCUUAUAUAUUGUGAGAGGCAAAACAGUUUGUAAUCUUUUACUUUGAGUGAUUGUAAGUGUUGGGAUACACUUGGGUUAAGAGAUUAGGGAUAAUCUCUUGUUGUAAAGGUCCAUUGACACCUUGGAAGUCAAGUGUAAGCAUUUGAAGCCUUGGAGGCUUGCUUAGUGGAAUCCUCAAGCCCGGAAAGCUUGGAGGCGUGGACGUAGGCGAGGUUGGCCGAACCACGUAAAAAUCUCGGUGUUUGAAUCCCUCUUCCCUUAUCUUUUUAUAUUGUGAUCAUCCUAAUUGUUGUUGCUUUAAAUUUGAUUUAUAAUUGCAUUAAGAUUUUCUUUAAUAAAUUGAAUAGUUUUUUAGAAUCUCAAUUCACCCCCCCUCUUGGGUUGCAUACUUGUAUUUCAAUUGGUAUCAGAGCCUCGUUCUCUUGUUAAGACUUAAUCGUCUAGAGUAAAAGAUCCAUGGCAACCCUAAAUGACUCAACCUUUAGAGAAGGGCAAUCCACAACUAGACCACCAUUUUUCGAUGGUAAUGACUAUGCUUAUUGGAAAACUAGAAUGAGAAUCUAUUUGCAAACCUUAGAUUAUGAAAUUUGGGAAGUUGUUUGUGAUGGUCCAUUCAUGCCUACGUUCAAAGAUGAAGUAGGAGAUGAUAUUCCUAAACCAUCGAGUCAAUGGAGUGAGUUAGAAAAGAGAAAGAUGUCUCUAAACUCCAAGGCUAUGAAUGCUUUGUUUUGUGCCCUUGAUAAGAAAGAAUUCCAUAGAGUAUCUAGUUGUGAAAGUGCACAAGAGAUAUGGAACAAACUUGAAGUUGUCUAUGAAGGGACAAAUCAAGUGAAAGAGUCUAAAAUCAGUAGAUACACUCGUCAAUAUGAGUUGUUCCAAAUGGAACAAAAUGAAAAUGUGUAUUCUAUGUAUACUAGAUUCACGGACAUAGUGAACACCCUAGGUGCCUUAGGGAAAACCUUCUCAAAUAGUGAGAAAGUUAAGAAAAUCAUUAGGUCACUUCCAAAAGAAUGGAGACCUAAAAGAACCGUCAUUGAAGAGGCCAAAGAUUUAAAUACUUUACCUCUUGAUGAUUUGAUUGGUUCUCUCAUUUCAUAUGAAGAGGAUUUAGCUGCAGAAAAAGGACAUGAGGAGAAGAAGAAAAGCAUUGCUCUCAAAGCUUCAAAAUAUGAGAGUGAUGGGGAGAGUGAACCAGAUGAUGAAGAGCUAGCCAUGCUAGCAAGGAGGUUCAGAAAAUUCUUCAAGAAAACCGGAGAGCGAAGAAAUUUCAGAAACUUCAAGAACCAUAGGGAGAAGAAGGAGGCAAUCACAUGCUAUGAAUGCAAGAAGCCUGGACAUAUAAGAUCGGAGUGCCCACUUAUCAACAAACUCAAGAAGAAAGCAAUGGUUGCAACUUGGGAUGAUAGUGAGGAAGAAUCAAGUGAUGAAGAAGGAUCGCAAGAAGUAUCAAACCUAGCACUCAUGGCAAUAGGAGGGGAUGAUGAUCUCAAUGAGGUAAGUGAUCCCACCUAUGAUGAAUUGUAUGAUGCUUUUAAAGAUUUGCAUGAUGAGUUGAUGAAGAUUGGUAAAAAGAAUGUAUGUCUUAAAAAGGAAAUGGCAAAGCUUAAAAAUGAAAAUGAAUCUCUAAAUGCAAGAAUUGUAUGCCUAGAAGUAGGGAACAAAACAUUGCAUGAUGAAAUUGCAUUAUCAAAUGAGAAACCUAGCAUCUUACAUGAGCAUUUAGAAUCACACAUAGAUGAGUUGAAAAAUGAGAACGAAAUGCUCAAGAAAAAGAGCAAUGAAUUAAAUGAAAUUGUUUUGAAAUUUACAAAUGGGCAAAAGAUGUUGGAUAAUAUGCUUAACUCACAAAAAUGUGUUUUUGAUAAAGGAGGACUUGGAUAUAAGCCUAACUUGAAGCAAAAGUAUUAUAAGAAUUAUUUUGUUAAAGCUACCUCCAUAAAUGAUCAUAAGAUUGUAUGUCACUAUUGUAAUCAAAAUGGUCACAUGAAAUAUAGAUGUCCCGUAAAAAGGAAUGCAUAUUAUGGUGUCAAAUGCAUUUGGGUUCCAAAAGGAACCGUUGCUAACUCUCAAGGACCCAAAAAGCUUUGGGUACCUAAAACUUGAGACUUUUUCUUGUAGGGCUUGAAGAAGAAGAAAAAUAAAUGGUACUUGGACAGCGGUUGUUCAAGGCACAUGACCGGAAACUAUGCAUGGUUCUCAAGCUUCACCAAAAUUGAAAAUGGUGGAGACGUAUCUUUUGGAGACAACUCAAAAGGAAAAAUUCUUGGAAUUGGAAAUGUUGGUAAAGUCUCUUCAACUCUAAUUGAGAAUGUAUGUAUGGUUGAGAACUUGAAACACAACUUAAUUAGCAUUAGUCAAUUAUGUGACAAAGGUUAUAAAGUUAUCUUUGAUAAAUUUAGUUGUGUUAUUGAGAACUCAUGUGAUGGCAAAACCGUAUUUGUUGGAAAUAGAUGUGGUAAUGUUUAUAUCAUUGACAUAGAAUGUGCAUCUACUCUUGAUAAAUGUUUUUCGGCAUUGCAUGAUGAUUGUCGGUUAUGGCAUAGAAGGUUAGGACAUGCAAGUAUGGAUUUGAUUUCAAAAAUUUCGAAAGAUGAUUUAGUUAAAGGUCUUCCGAAAAUUGGUUUUCAAAAGGAUAAGAUUUGUGAAGCUUGUCAAUUUGGAAAACAAAUUAAAACUUCUUUCAAGAAUAAAAACCAUAUUUCUACUUCAAAACCUCUUGAACUUCUUCACAUAGAUCUUUUUGGGCCAUCUAGAUAUGCAAGUCUAAAUGGCAAAUAUUAUGCAUUUGUGAUAGUGGAUGAUUAUUCUAGAUAUACGUGGGUAUUAUUCUUAGCCAAUAAGGAUGAUGCUCUUGAUGCUUUUAAAGUGCUUUGUAAGAAAUUACAAAAUGAAAAAGGGCGUGGUAUUGUAUGCAUUAGGAGUGAUCAUGGAGGAGAAUUUGAAAAUCAUGCAUUUGAGAUUUUUUGCAAUAAUCUAGGCAUUGAGCAUCAAUUUUCAUCACCUAGAACUCCACAACAAAAUGGAGUUGUUGAGAGAAAGAAUAGGUCUAUUCAAGAAAUGGCUAGGACCAUGCUAAAUGAAAAUGCAUUACCAAAAUAUUUUUGGGCCGAAGCCGUCAACACCGCUUGUUAUGUUUUAAAUCGGGUGUUGAUUAGACCUAAUCUUAAUAAAACUCCCUAUGAGCUUUGGAAAAAUAGAAAACCCAACAUUGGCUAUUUCAAAGUUUUUGGAUGCAAAUGUUUUAUUUUAAACACAAAAGAUAAUCUUGGUAAAUUUGAUCCAAAAUCUGAUGUUGGCAUCUUUCUUGGGUAUUCAAACUCAAGUAAAGCUUAUAGAGUUUAUAAUAAAAAAACUUUAGUUGUGGAGGAGUCCAUGCAUGUUACGUUUGAUGAAUCUAACCCCUCCUCUACGGAGAAAGGAGUUGCUAAUGAUAAUGCAGAUGGAGAGUUACAAGAAGAAUCAUCAAAAGAGAAUCAAGAGAAUGCACCACAAGAAAAUCAAGAGGAUAGACAAGAAGAACAAACAAAUAUGGAGCUGGAACAACAAGAUGGUAUUUCUCAAACACUCCCCAAGGAGUUGAGGUAUGUCUCUUCUCACCCUAAAGAUGUAAUUUUAGGAGAUCCCUCACAAGGUGUUACAACUAGAUCAUCAUUUAGGAAUACUUGUGAGCAUAAUGUAUUCAUUUCUCAAAUUGAACCCAAAUCCUUUGAGGAUGCGGAAAAUAAUGAAUCUUGGAUUAUGGCAAUGCAAGAGGAAUUAAAUCAAUUUGAAAGAAACAAUGUGUGGGAAUUAGUUCCUAAACCGGAACAUCAAUCCGUCAUAGGUACUAAAUGGAUUUUUAGAAAUAAGAUGGAUGAAUCCGGUGUGGUUGUAAGGAAUAAAGCUAGAUUGAUUUUGAUGAAACUUUUGCACCCGUUGCUAGACUAGAAUCAAUUAGAAUGUUGUUGGCAUUUGCAUGCCAUAAAGAUUUCAUCUUAUUUCAAAUGGAUGUGAAAAGUGCUUUCCUAAAUGGGUAUGUUAUGGAAGAAGUGUAUGUAAAACAACCCCCUGGCUUUGAAAAUGAAAAGUUUCCAAAUCAUGUUUAUAAGUUGCUUAAAGCCUUGUAUGGAUUAAAACAAGCACCUAGAGCAUGGUAUGAUAGACUUAAGAAUUUCCUGUUGGAAAAUGAUUUUUCAAUGAAUAAAGCGGAUACUACUCUAUUUGUUAAGCAUAAGAACCAAGAUAUACUUAUUGUUCAAAUUUAUGUUGAUGAUAUUAUUUUUGGUUCUACUAAUGAAUUGUUGUGUAAAGAAUUUUCAUCGUGUAUGAGCAAAGAAUUUGAGAUGAGUAUGAUGGGAGAGUUGAAGUACUUCCUUGGACUUCAAAUCAAACAAAACGAGGAAUGAAUUUUCAUAAAUCAAGCCAAGUACGUAAAAGAUCUACUCAAACGAUUCGACAUUGAUGAAUCAAAGACCAAGAAUACACCAAUGAGCACAACAACCAAGCUGGACAAAGAUGAAAAAGGCAAAGAAGUGGAUAUCAAAAUGUAUCGAGGUAUGAUCGAAUCCCUACUUUAUUUGACUGCAAGUAGACCCGAUAUCAUGUUUAGUGUAUGUUUGUGUGCAAGAUUUCAGUCAUGUCCCAAGGAAUCUCAUUUGCUUGCUGUUAAAAGAAUUUUCCGUUAUUUGAGUGGAACCAUAGAUAUUUGCCUUUGGUAUCCUAGGGGAACUCAUAUAGAUUUAACAUGUUAUUCUGAUGCGGACUUUGCCGGUUAUAAAGUGGAUAGGAAAAGCACUAGUGGUACUUGCUAUAUUCUAGGACACUCUCUUGUUUCAUGGUUUAGCAAGAAACAAAAUUCUGUCGCACUUUCAACUACCGAGGCUGAAUAUAUAGCUGCCGGAAGUUGUUGUGCACAAGCACUUUGGAUGAAACAAACACUUAGAUAUUAUGGCAUUAAUCUUAAAAAAAAUUCCUAUUAAGUGUGAUAAUACUAGUGCUAUUAAUCUUUCAAAGAAUCCCAUUCAACACUCUCGAACCAAGCAUAUAGAAAUAAGACAUAAUUUCUUGAGAGAUCAUGUUCAAAAGAGAGACAUUGCAUUAGAGUUUAUUUCUACGGAAAAAUAACUUGCCGAUAUUUUUACAAAACCACUUUGCGAAGAACAAUUUUCCAAAAUUCGGCAUGAACUUGGGAUGAUGAAAUUUUCACAUUAACAUCUUUAUUCAUGCUAUUGAGUCUAUUAACAUUGAUUGAUCUAUGACUUGAUGCUUUAAUAUCUAUGAAAUGCUCAAUCGUAAUAUACAUGUGAUGUGUAUGGAUAUUUGAAAAUGUAUGAAUUAAUUGUUGCAAUACAUAUAUAUAUUCAUGAAUUAUGCAUUGAACUGGCACUCAAAUCAUUUUGGAUCAAUAAAAUGAUCUUGAAAUGUAUUAAUAAGUAGCCAAAUAUCAAAAUACAUGUGCGAAAUCAUAAGUUGUAGAAAACGGAUUACCGUUAUUUCAAUAAACGGCUAACCGUUUUGGGCAGAAACAAUGGAAAGUUUUUCUGGGCGCUAUCGGUUCGCCGAUAACUAUCUAUCGGUUCGCCGAUAACUAUCUAUCGGCUCGCCGUCCUGAUACAAAAUUUUGAGGAGACUCCCUGGACCCUAUCGGCUCGCCGUUAUUUCUAUAAACGGCUCGCCGUUCUGAUGAAAUUUUUUGGAGGACUCUCUGGACUCUGUCGGCUCGCCGGUUUCUUUAUAACGGCUCGCCGUUAUCACGCGUAAAUUGAACAGUCCUUCGUCUUCUUCCUCAUUUCGGCUUCUCUUUCUCUCUCUCUCUCUCUCUUCAGCCCGCGACAGCACCAGUUCUCUACUCUCAAAUCCAUCACUUUUCUUGUCAUUUUUCAUCAAAUUGAUGCAUUACAAACCAUUUUUAUCUUCUCUAGAACCUUUUAACCGACUCAAAUCCUUCUCUUUCAUCUAAAAAUUGAAAAAUCUUCUUUUUGAAACCCUAGAACCAGCCGAGCCUUCCUUGCUCAAAUUAACCCAAAUCUCUUCCUUUUUCCAAUCACAUUUCCACACGCAAUCACUAUCUCAUCUCUCAAACUUCAUUUCCACAAAUUUUUUUUCUCCCAACACAUCCAUGGCGGAACGACCACAAAGGCGUGCUCGAACCAAGCACACUGCUCCACGCCGUUCUAGUCCACCCAGGUCUCCUCCUCAAGACUUCGAGAGUCUUCAUUUUCCCGAUGCUACCUCUGCUCAGCGAUUUCGUGAGAAAUUCAUUGGUAAACCCGUAAUUCCCUCUUUUUCUCUUAACAUCUCGGAGUUUUCGGAUAUUACUGUUUGUGGUAACUCCAUUACUCAAAUGCUUAAUCAUUGGCAGCAAGCAUUAAGUAUUGAAGAACCUAUUUAUGAAAAUCUAGUUCGAGUCUUUUAUUCUAACAUAGAAUUCUCCUCUACUCGUCGUGACGAGCUUCAUACUUUUGUAGGAGGAAUUCGCAUUGAACUAGAUGAACCCGAAUUAUGUAGUAUUCUAGGAAUUGCUUAUGGAGGGUUAGAUCUGUACACUGCUAGGAAAGAACUUUCUUUUAGUAAUUUUCGUCAUGUGGAUGGUGUACGGAACAUUUUUCGUCGUCGGGAUCUUUCCAAUGACAUCUGCUCUCUGUCCUUCAGGUCUCAACUCCUCCCUUUUCAGAUUCGAAUUCUUCACAUUAUUCUCCAACACAUGGUCACUCCUAGACAGGGUCACACUGAUGAGGUCACUAGGCUUGAUAUUGGUCUAUUAGAUUCUCUUAUCCGUCGACGCCAUGUGAGCCUAUCCUACACUAUUAUGUGCCAUAUGCUGUCCACCCCUAAAGUCUCCAAUCGAUCUCUUCCUUAUGGCAGCAUCAUUACUAAAAUCUUGAACCACUUUCAUGUUCCUAUCAUCGAGCCUGUUUUUCUCGAGACUCGUAAGCUCGGACGAGAAAUUAUUUCUGCCAUCAGAUUCUUUAAGAAGCGUGGGAAAUGGGAUAAGACCACAUCCUCUAAAAACGAAGACACAUUGCUUGCACCAUAGGAUGAUCGCAUGUUGAAUGACGUCUACUCCGAGGAUGAGCUACCUGAUUUCCGUCUUGGGGCUAGACCGCGUGUUCCACGCCGAGCAGCUGCACCAGCAGCACCUGCAGCACCAGCAGCACCUGCAGCACCAGCAGCACCUACAGCACCAGCAGCAGCUGCAUCUCAGGAUGACGAGCCUACCGAGAUUGCCGUCCCUCCUGCGGCAUCAGCUGUUCCUGAGGAUCGCUUCCAGCAGCUUCUCGACCGAGUGGAUGCCCUGUCCCAGCAGCAGCAGCAACUUCGAUCUGAUUUUACAACCUUUCGGGAGCAAAUUUCUGAUCAGCAGAUGGAGUUAAUUGCAGGACAGCGUCGCAUUCUCGGCUACUUUGGAUAUGACCCCGGCAGCUCGUCUUCACAGCCCCCAUCUUAGAUUUCUCUGCCCCUCUGACAUUCGCAUAGACAUCUUUCAUUUCAUUUGCCAUAUGUGUAUGAUAUUAUUUGUGUUCUGUGUGUUAUGUGUUUUGUGAUUAUGCUUUUGAUAAUUCUUGUUGGACAUAUGCACUUAAUUUCUGUUUGGGUUGUUUUUGGUAUUAUAUUGAUUAUAUUGCUCAUUCUGGAAGUGUGAAUUUGUUGGUAUGGAGGUUGGUUGAUAUGGUGGUAUAUUUAUAUGGAAGUGUUUUUCUUUUUAACUCUGUGUGUUGUUGAGGAAAUGCUCAUAUUUCAGGGGAGACUCUGCCCAAAUUUCUCCAAACAUAAGUCAUUCAUCUCGUCUCUUUCUUUUUGAUGAUGAAGGGGGAGAGAAAUUGGCAAAAUGCAAAAUUGGUUUUGGCAAAAUAGUAUUGGCAUGCAUGAGUUUACUGGCAUAAAUUUUUUUUUAAAAUCAAUCUGUCGUGUUUAAAAUUUUGAGAUUAACAGUUGAAUAUUUUUUAACAAGGGAGUUAACAAGUCUUUCAAAAUUUCACUUAGGGGGAGCAAAAUUGCACAAGUAUUUUCUUGAAAAGUUUGUCAUCAUCAAAAAGGGGGAGAUUGUUAACAUAAAUUAUUCUUGAUUGAUUUUGAUGAUAACAAACAUGAUUAAGAUUGAUUAAUCGAUUUAAAAGCUCAACAUAAUUUUCAUCUAUUUUGACAAGUUUCAUAAAGUAUUUUUAUAAAGAUUUGGAGACAAAACAGUCAUCUUGCAAAAUAGUUCACUGCAGCAGUUUUUGUGGAAAACGGCGAUCCGACAUGUGUAGUAAACGGCUCGCCGAUUUCAAGCAGAAAUGGAGAUUAGCCUCUGGACGAAAACGGCACACCGACAUUUGUGAUAAACGGCUCGCCGAUAUCAACCAGUAGCCUCUGGACCUAAACGGCGAACCUAUAUGUUGAUAAACGGCUCGCCGAUAUCAACCAGAACUGAAGGGUAGCCUUUGGACCUAAACGGCGAACCGACAUGUGUGAUAAACGGCUCGCCGAUAUCAACCAGUAGCCUCUGGACCUAAACGGCGAUCCGACAUCUAGAUAACGGCGAUCCGACAAUUUGAAAAAUCAGCCCAACGGUCAUAUUGACCAGUCAAACGGCGAUCCGACAUCUAGCUAACGGCGAUCCGACAGUGUGCAGAAAGUCAAUAACGGCUAGUUUUCAGCAGCAGCUAUAAAUAAGCUCAUUCAAAUUCAAACAAAGAUUGAUCACAACACGACCAUUGAGCAAAUAUUCGAGAAUACAAUCUUCAUAGAGCUUAGAACACAUUCUUGCUUCAUCUAUUCACAUAUUAAGCAUCAUUGUGUAAUCUUAUAUAUUGUGAGAGGCAAAACAGUUUGUAAUCUUUUACUUUGAGUGAUUGUAAGUGUUGGGAUACACUUGGGUUAAGAGAUUGGGGAUAAUCUCUUGUUGUAAAGGUCCAUUGACACCUUGGAAGUCAAGUGUAAGCAUUUGAAGCCUUGGAGGCUUGCUUAGUGGAAUCCUCAAGCCCGGAAAGCUUGGAGGCGUGGACGUAGGCGAGGUUGGCCGAACCACGUAAAAAUCUCGGUGUUUGAAUCCCUCUUCCCUUAUCUUUUUAUAUUGUGAUCAUCCUAAUUGUUGUUGCUUUGAAUUUGAUUUAUAAUUACAUUAAGAUUUUCUUUAAUAAAUUGAAUAAUUUUUUAGAAUCUCAAUUCACCCCCCCUCUUGGGUUGCAUACUUGUAUUUCAGUAGGGUCCCAAUCAAAAUGUGGCACGAACACAUUUAUCCAACAACAAGAUUUUUCGAUUGCCAUCCCCACUAAUUUGGUGUAAGGACUAAGAGUUAAUUGAAAAAUAUUUAGUUUAAUUUUACAUUUAAUUUUUUUUUUCAUUUUUGUAUUAAGAAUUAAUUGAAAAAUUAUUAUAUUCCCUUAAUUUUACCAUAAUGCCGUUGACUUAGACCCUAGUCUCUUGAUUAAAGCGUUUUCAAGUUCAAAAGAUUCAGAUAACUCACUCGAUUAUAGGGCGUCUGCACCUUACGCUCGCGUUUGUUGUGAUGCCAGUAGCUGCUGUGACUGUGGCUGUCGUUGUCGAUUGUACUUGAAUUUUGCAGGAGAGCUUAAUAUCUUGUUUAGUAAUUAAGUGUUGUAUCAUUUAUUGUUAAAAAAUUAUAUUAUAAAAUAAAAAUUAAUAAUAAGUAAUAAAUAUGAUUUUUAAAAAUUAAUUUUCAUUAUAUAUUGUCAUUAAAUAAAUAUAAAAUUAAUUUAAUUUAACUGUAAAAUUAUAAUAAUUAAUAUUUAUUGAAUACUUUAGUAUUAUAACUUUUAAAAUUAUAAUGGACUAACUUCAAUCCCAAAAGAACCUGAAAUGAUUGUGGAGAUCGGGAUUUUCAAUUUCCUUUCUUUUUGGAACUAGUUUGGGAUUGUCCAAACACGCUAUGGUAUGCGUUUGACAUGGAGAAGGGGGACAAAUCAAUUUUGUUUACUGCAAAACCCUAAAAAUAAUUAGUCAACUUGCGUAUACCCCUUUUGGACCCAUUUUGUCAGGAAAAAGAAAUUGUGGACCAUUUGCACUCUAAAUUUAACUUUAGAUACUGGUAUUUUAAUAAAUUUUUAUAUUAUUAAAUUAACCUUAAUAUAAGGAUCCAGCUACCGUGCAUCUGUGGUAUGGUAUCCCGCAUUUUGUUUAUAUAUGACUUUGCCUUUAAAUGUAACACAAAACUUGCAUCAAUUGCAUAGAUGUAUUCUCUUUGGUUAUUAAUAUUGACACCCCUAUUGUUUUUCAAAAAAGUAAAAUGGUGAAAGGUUUGACACAUAAUUUUAGAUUAUUUUUAAAUUUUUUAUUUUUAUCAAUUGAUCUACUUUAUUAUUAAAAUUAAUGACAGUAUAAGAGCAAUAACUUGAAAAAACUUUUUAAUACAUAAAAUAUUUUUUUAUUUUGAAAACAAUAGAAUAUCAAUUUAAUAUAUAGUAAAUAAUUUGAAUAUAUAAUAAAAAUAUAUUAAUUUAUCAAUAAUAAUAUGACCAAAUGACAAUGUUAAAAAAUUUCAUAAUAAUCAAUUAUGGUUUAAUAUUCAAAUAUAAAAAAUAAAAAUAUACUCUUAAAUGUGAAUAGUAGAAAUAUAUUAGACUUAUAUGCUAAAAUUUCAAAACUUUUAAAUUUUUUAUUUUUCAACAAAUAAGAGGGACUGUAAAGUAAUUUAUCAAAAACCGGUGGUUCCUUGAACCCGGGGCAAUAAUUUACUAUUAAGAACGAUUAUAGUUUAAUAAAUUUUUAUCCUAUAAACUUUUAUCUACUGUAAACCACAUUAACAAUGAAAUGUUGAAUCAAUGUUCACAUCAAGUUACAUGUUCUAUCUCUUAUAACUGAAACAAAAGGAAUUACAUGGUCACCGUCUGGAACUGGAAAUGUUUUGAGUUUACUUAGCCUAGAAGAAUUAACCCUUAUCCUUUUAGUUCGCACCGCCCACGAAGCUUCAUAUUCCUAAGAUAUGUCUUUUUUUUUUUUAAAUAAUUUAUAAUCUGACAGCUGGAACAAAGUUUCGACUUUCGAGUGGGCAAAACGCAAAAACUACCACGACUACUUCAACAACUUCGUUACAUUUAGACAUUUAUCAUUUAAUCAGAGUUUGACGAGCAGCCUUGAAGGAAAAUUUAUAGAAAUGACCCUUACUUUUUUUCGAUUAUACGAAUAACAAAUAAAAUUUUCUUUUUUCAGUUAAACAGUUUAAAGUCUACUAUCUACUGUUUAAAGGAGAAAAAUAUGGUGCAACGGUGGUACCGUUGCACCGUAGCCGGACCCCUAUUUGAAAUAUAUAGCAAAUGAAAUUUUCCUUUUUUCAAUUACACAAUCAACAUGUAACUGUUUUGUAUAUAUCUUUUUCUAGCGGCUUCAAAACGCUUCAACCUUAUGGAAUGGCACAAUCUUUGUAUAUUAUUAUUUUAAUUAAUAACAAGAUUACUGAUCCUGUGUGCCCGGUAAACACUACUGUGAUUGAGGAAAAAGCGGUAUUGCUAUUGCUGUCUCUUACCAAAGGCCUUGAUAAAUCAACCGUUUCUUCACAUCAAACUAAGGCACAAGAGGUAUAAAGCCUAGGUGUAGGAGAGAAAGCUACAACAUAUAUGACACAAAAUCAAUUUGGAUGGACCUUGCUAAUCACGUCUGUGAAUGAAGAAGAUUCACCUCGAUGCCAUAGUAGAGCAAAUUAUUAGGGGGCAGGAUGGACAUGUCACAUGGUUAAGGGGGUCUCUAAAUCCCGAAGGGUACAAAAACCUCUGCUUUGAAGCUCACCUCACUAUCUAAAAUCAAAUAUGACUUGAAUGCGAAAUUACGUGUGCGGUAAGUUCUUAUUUGGGAAACUGUGUUGUGCGUCCCACAAACUCCAAAUGGGAGCUUGCCACAUGUUCAAUCGUGCUUAUAGAGUGUGUCCGCAUGCAUCUAAUUGAGAUCUUAUUUACAGUAUAAUACACUUCUAAAAAUUUAGAUAGCAAUAUAAAACUUUACAACUAUAAUAUUCAUUGAUAAUAAAUUUAUUUAUUAUGAUUGUUCUCGUUGAAAACUCCUCAAUGAAAUUUUAUGAGUCGAAAAUAACGUAUGAUAGUUUAACUACCAAUAUAAGAAAAAAUAUAUUUUUCAAUAUACAAAACUAGGUUAUUGCUUAAUUUGCUUUUAAAAUCUUUUAAUAAUAACAAAAAUAUUCAUAUAUUGCAACACAUAGAGCAAACAUGAAUGCAUGAUAAAAUUAUAGAUUUCAAAACUAGACAAAAGAUUAAUCAAAAAAUGAAAAAUUAGAAUUAUGUAGACUUACAACUUAUGGGUCAUUGUUGAAAGAUCAAACAAUUGAUUUUACUCGAAUAGAAAACAAAAAAAAUUAAAGACCAGUUCAUUAACCAUUAUGCUAACAUUUUGUUAUGAUUAUUUUUUAUUUUAAUAUUUGUUCUCAUGUCUUUAAUUGAAUUUUAUGAAAUGUUAAUAACUAAUUAAAUUAUUUAUGAAAUUGUUCUAUUAUUUUGCAACAUCAUCAAAUGAUGAUUUCUUGUUCCAAAAAAUAUUAAUUAUCCAAAAAAAUUUACACUAAUGGAGUUGGUACACACAUCAAUCAAGCAUGAAUCGUCAUAUCCUAAAAAUGUGUAAACAUACAUUUAUCGGCUACGAAAGAAAUUGGAAGCAAGCAAAGCAAUUGGGGAUAAGUUUCCCCCAGACAUUGGGAUGUGUCAGUGAUUUCAACUUUUCUUUAUUUUCUUAUAGCUGAUUGGUAGAAAUAAAGCAGCGGCUGUUAAUGAAUUUGCGUAUAGUUGCUUCCCAAUCAGCUUGCAUGAUAUUGAUAGGCAAAAGAAUUCGCCUCAAUUCUGAAUUCUGAUAUUAAAAAACUAAUUCAUAAUAUUGACGUGAGGUUAAGGUUAAUUAUUCCCUUAGCAUCAAUCACCAAAAUAAGUAAAGUAUAUGCGAAAAGUAUUUUAAAAGAAAUCUUAGUUACCAUUAAUAUUAGAAAGAACAUAAAAUAUUUAUCAAGUACAAAGUCUAUUAGUCUUAAAGCAACAACAUCUUAAAGGCCACAGUCUAUCUAGGUGUAUGGAUUUUUGUUGUUUCAAGUUGGAGGUGAUUAACAACAAUUAUUAGAUUGACACGAUAUCAUCCACUUUAACCUUAAAAAAAAACCCACUCAAAGUUAAAAGAAUGAACUCUUUUGUUAGUUUAAGAACUUCAUUAUUAAGAAAAAGGAAGAGGAAUUUUGUGGGGCAUGAUCGUAGAAUACAAUUAAAGAGCCAAAAGAUGAUAGAGGGUCUCACAUAAUUAAGUGGAAAGCAGUCAAAAAGUGGGAAAAGGUUGUUCUUUUCUUCAAUGUUGUUUGAUUUACUUUAGAAUGAUUGAAGAAGAAAGAUCACUGUGGUGAUCUAAUGAAAGAGCUGUUUUCCAUUUGCAAUUAAACGGAAAACGAAACUUACAGAGAAGUUGUGCACAUUUGCACGUCAUAUGCUUUAUAAUCGAUCCUAUUUUUCUACGAGAACGUGAUUGAUUGGUACACAAGUUGUAUCACCUAACCAGCUAGCUCCAUGUUGCCUUAGUUAAUCUGCUACUUAAUUAACUGCUUUAUUGAAGCACUCACAAAUUAAACAAUAAUAAUUGAGUACAUAUAUGCACUAUUCUUAUUAUGUGAGUGAGAUAUUUAAGCCAGGGACGUAGCCAGGAUUCUGAUCAAGUUGGGGCACAUUUAAAAUCAAACAUGACUCAAAUGCGCGACUACACGUGCGGUAAGUUCUUAUUUGGGAAAUUGUGUUGUGCGUCCCACAAACUCCAAAUGGGAGCUUGCCACAUGCACAAUUGUGCUUAUAGAGUGUGUCCGCAUGCAUCUAAUUGAGAUCUUAUUUAAAGUAUAAUACACUUUUAACAAUUUAGAUAGUAAUAUAAAACUUUAUAACUAUAAUAUUCAUUGAUAAUAACUUUAGUUAUUAUGAUUGUUCUCGUUGAAAACUCCUGAAUGGAAUUUUAUGAGUAAAAAAUAAUGUAUGAUAGUUUAACUACUAAUAUAAGAAAAAAUAUAUUUUUCAAUAUACAAGACUAGGUUAUUACUUAAUUUGCUUUUAAAAUCUUUUAAUAAUAACAAAAUUAUUCAUAUAUUGCAACACAUAAAGCAAACAUGAAUGCAUUAUAAAUUUAUAGAUUUUAAAACUAGACAAAAGAUUAAUCAAAAAUGAAAAAUUAGAAUUAUGUAGACUUACAACUUAUGGGUCAUUGUUGAAAGACCAAACAAUUGAUUUUGCUCGAAUAGAAAACAAAAAAAAUAUUAAAGACUAGUCCAUUAACCAUUAUACUAACAUUUUUUAUGAUUUUUUUUUAUUUUAAUAUUUGUUCUCGUGUCUUUAAUUGAAUUUCAUGAAAUGUUAAUUGCUAAUUAAAUUAUUUAGAAUUAGACAUUUAAACGAGGGAUAAUAUGAAAUAUUUUAAAAUUACUAGAGUCACUUUUAAAUUUUACAAUGCAGCUGGGGCAUUUUUCAUAAAUAACAAACAAAAUACAUUUUUUUCAUAUAAUCAUCAAAAAAAAUUUAAAAGCCAGCCAGGGCAUGUGCCUCAGCUGGUCCCAUGCUGACUCCGCCCCUAUACGUAAGACACACGCAUAUUAUUUUACAAGGUACCACCAAUUUUUGUAUUUUGUGAUGUCAAAUUUCAUUUAACUCCUUAUCUUUUUUUAUUUACGGUUUAUUUAUAACAUUAUAUCUUUUGACAGGUAACUUUUUAAAAUGAAUUUUAUUUAUAAUUUAUUUAUAAGUUUAUAUACUUUGGCUGGUGAUCUACUCAAAUGUAAUUUUAUUUUAUUUAAUAUUAUUUAUCUUUCUAAAAGAAUAAAUAUAACAAUAAGCCUGUGACUAGAUAAUAUUAAAUAAUAUUUUGAAUAAAAUAAAAAUAUUAAAACUUUAUUCUUUUAAAUAAAAUAAAUAAUAUUAAAAAAUAAUAUUUAUUUUUUAGGACUCACAAUUGCUUAUUCUAUUUUAUUUAAUAUUAUUUAGUCAAAUAAUAUUAAAUAAAAUAAUAUAAAUAUUAUUAAAAAUAAUAGUAAUUUUUUUAGACUCAUUACUAAUUAGUUCAUUUUAUUUAACAUUAUUUAGUUUCAUGAAAGAAUAAAUAUAAUAAUAAGCCUUUGACUAUAUAACGUUAAAUAAAAUCAAAUAAAUAAUAUCAAAAAAAUAUUUAUUUUUUUAUAAAAUAAAUAAUAUUAAAAUUUUAUUCUUUUGAAUAAAUAAAAAUAUAUUUUUUAAGACUCACAACUGAUUAUUUAUUUUAUUUAAUAUUAUUGAGUUUUUUAAAGAAUAAAUAUAAUAAUAAGUCUAUAACUAAAUAACAUUAAAUAAAAAUUAAAUACUAUAAAUAAUAUUAAAUAAAAAUUAAUUAAUAUUAAAAACUAUAUUUAUUUUUAAUGCUCACUACUGAUUAUUUUAUUUUAUUUAAAUAUUUAGUUUUUUGAAAGAUUAAAUACAACAAUAAGCCUGUAACUAAAUAAUAUUAAAUGAAAUGAGAAUAAAUAAUUUUAAAUAAUAUUUGUUUAAUAAAUAAAUGAUAUUAAAAAUUAAUUUUUAAAAUAAAAAAUAAUUAAUAUUAAAAUAAAUUUAUUUUUUAAGACUCAUUGAUAAUUAAACAACAUAAAAUUUUAAACAAUUUGGACUUAUGUGCUAAAAGUUUUAAUUCUUUAGCUCUUUUGCAUUUUUGAUAAAUAGCAAGGAGCAUAAUGUUAAUAUUUAAAUAAACGAUUCACUACCCUUAAAUCUAUCUUUUCAUUGAAUCCAAUGAUCAAAAAUUAAAACCAAUGACCAAGAAUUGAAACUACAAAAAAAUAAAAUCAUAUGGUAUCUUACAACUGUUGUAAGAUAAUUGAGUCUUUUAAUUACACGUGUUAUUUGGAACUUGUUAAAUUGGUCCCUUGUGGGUCCUCGUGGACUCCAAAUUAGCCGUACGCCUUUUAAAUAGAAAUAAGUGCAUUACAAUUUUUUUCUAUUUUACUUUAUUUUUGAAAUUUUUUGGAAAAAGCGAUGACUCAUGAUAAUAGAAGAAGAAGAAUAGUAGGAUACAUGUAAUAUCGGUUUAUACUUUAUAUCACUUUUUACUUCUUUCUUUAAUUUUUUUUUUAAUUUUUUAUUAUCCUUUUUUGUGUCUUUGGGGUCCAAAUAUAUUGUGUAUGAAUAAAUAACGCGGCUUAUGAGUUGAUGGCAAUUUACCAUGCGUUAAUAAUGCUUGAUGAAAAUGUUGUAACCAACUGCUAAUUCGGUCGGAGAGGAGGGAUAUCUAGAGCAACCAAAGUUCAUAAUUGUUUUAAAUUAUUUGAGAUUAUUGCGGUGUGCAACGUGUCGUUUGUUAAGAGAAUUAAAAUGAGUCAAAAGGUUUAAGAAAUAAGCUUUGGCUGCUUGGAAGAACCGCUUUCGAGCCUCCACAAAGUAUUGUAGGGCUUAAAUUCUUUUUAAUUAUGAAUAAUAAUUAAAUGAAGACAGUUUUUUCCCUAAUAAUUACCUAAUUAUAAAUAUAUCAGUAAUAAUUUCAUUUAAUACGAAUUGUAAUAUCAAGAAAGAAAAAAAAAAAGCUAUCCACUUAUGAUAAUAUUCUUAUUUGUAAACGUGUCAUGAGAAUUGAGAUGAUACAUGAUCAUCAAUGUCAUAUACUAAUUGAAAGAGUAGGUUUGCGAGGGCCAGCCGUGCUAAGCAAGGGUUGUCAUUUCCCUUAACCGCUUGAAAUGAAGCAUGAGGGAAAGAUCUUAUUCCACCUAUGUUUUAUUAUUAAUAUAUAAUUUUUUUUAUCUAUUAACCAAUAAUUAUCGGAGCGAGUUUUACUCAGGAGAACUUCAAUAAUAAAAAAUGUUUGAUCUCACUGAAAUGACAAGUUAUUUAAGGUUAUUGAAAAUUUAAGUAAAAGUUACUUUUAGGAAAAUGCUAAACGAAGAGAAUGGCGUGAGAACGCAACGUGAUAAUAUUAAAUGUAUAGUAAAUGUCAACUUUUAGCAUUUUUCCUUUCUCACCACGAGUAGCUUUUGCACGACAGAAAAACAAAACAACGUUCAUCACAAAGCUAAUUUUUCUCUCAUCCAACGUGAAAAUCACUUUGGCUCAUUUAUUCACCAACGACCACCGAGUAGAUCUAGAGUAGUAGCAAGUGAGGGAGAGGAGCAGUAGAUCUGGAGUAGUAGCGAGCGAGAGAGGGGAGGAAGAGGAGGAGUAGCGAGUGAGGGAGAGGAGUAAAUCUCAACAUUUUUUUUUUCUUUCAUACUAGCCUUUUAAGGUUAUAAAAUUAUUUUGUUUUUAUUAACAAGAAUGUUGAAAGCUGCUACUGAAAAAAACGACAUUACUGUAUGUCAUUUCUCUCGGCAUUCUUGCGAAUUAAUUUACAUUUGUACCACUCUAUUAAUUUACAUCUUUGCAAUUCAUAUAAAUAAUUUUUUUUUUUAAAAAGUAAAAUCUUAGGUCCAGCCUGAAUGGGCUCACAUCUAACACUACUCUUACUUUUAUGCCAUCGCAUGAUAUCGUGUAGGGACGACAAAAUAUAGGUUUGGUCUGAGUUUGAAAAGCCAAGCCCAUUUCAGGAGAGGCACAACAAGCGAGCCUGGUCGAGCCCAAUGUGAGCCCAUUCAGGCUCAAGUUGGACCUAAGAUUUUACUUUUUUUUUUAAAAAAAAAAUUAUUUAUAUGAGUGGCAACGUUAUAAAUUAAUAGAGUGGUACAAAUGUAAAUAAAAUAGUUGAUUUUUUUGUAAACUUUGCAUAAUGGCAAUUUUGUAAAAUUUGGACAGGCUGUAGCUCGUCUCAAUCCACACACAGCGUUACCACUGGGUAUAAACAUGGAGAACAAUUUAUAAUUCCACCAAGCUAAAUUAAAGUCAAACACUUGACAUUAAGAAAUUUCUAAUAAUCUUAUAAAUAAGAACUAACUGACAACUCACCAAUUAGUUUUUCAUCAGAACUCAUAACACAGCACUUACCCAUUCACAUUAUAAAAAUAUUGACAUUAAUGAGAGCGUAACUUAAUCAAAUAAUAAUCCAUUAAUAAAAUGAAAAUUAACAACUUGUACCUUCAUAGAUGAUUCUUGUGCACUUGACUUUCUAAGCAAAGAGCGUCACUAUUCUUUUCAAGAAGGCAGCCACCACAAAGCGCAGAAGCUUCUUCAUAUAAUAGUACAACAAUCAAAACCUGAAACAUACGCAUUAGUAUUAAUUUAUUAUAAUUUAGCAGCUGUAAAUAUUUUUUUUUCAAAAGUUAUCUAAAGUAAAUAUAAGAAUAACAAAGAAUAAAAUCUUAGAUCAACAACAGAGAACUUAAACUCAAAAACUUGCUUGAACUACUAUCAACAUCAUACUGCAUAAUCAAAUAGACAAAAUAGUGUAAUAUAUAAUUUGUAUUGACCUCCAUACCAUCACGUAAAAAAGAUUGUAAUAAAAAUAGGGGUGUCAAAAAAACCCGCCCGGACUGGACCUGGCCAAUCCGGUCCGGGCAAAACCCAGACCGCAUGCGCUGAAAAUGAGGGUUCGGGUUUAAGAAUUUCAAACCCGGCCAUUUUCGGGCACAGGUCCGGGUUCAACACCAAAAACUCAGAACUCGGAACCGGACCCGGUUUCUAAAUUAAAAAAUAUAUAUAUAUAAAAACAAAAAUGUCAAAACCCAAAUCCCUAAUUGGCUAAUUCCUGAUUGAAAGAGGCAUAAGCAGCAAGCCAGCAAUGCUGUCACCGGCAUCAUCUCUUCUCGUCACCGUUGACAUUCGGCAUCAACCACCACCCACCGUCACCGUCGCUCGUCGGCAUCAUCUCUUCUCGUUUGCUGACUCGGCUUGGCACGCGGCUUUACUCGGUUGCUCCAUCUCCAGUGGCAGUGCGGCUGUGACUCAGUGACAGUGAGUCGUUCGUGCAGGUGAGGCCUGCUUCUGGGAUAUUUUUCUAGGAUUUGGCCUCUUCGAGUUGCUUGGCCUGCUUCCUGACAUGUUCGACAGCUGCGAUUGCAGAUUCCUUGGAGUCCUUAACAACUUUGAGCUUGGUGGUCAACUCGAGCAUGGUUCUUUUAGCCCUCUCAAGAUCGCCAAGUGCUCGAGCUCUUGUGCUUUCAGAGCUCUCUAACAGUUUCUUAGUUCUUUCGAUUUCUUUCCGGGCCAAGAGAAGCUGCGUCGUCAGCGCCACCGUCUCCAACUCUCCAUCGCCACUUUCUCAACCACCAUCUCCAACUCUGCUUCUCAGCUUCUGCAGGAGAGAAUUGCAUGCCAUAUUGCCAUUACUAUUAAGUUACUAUAUGCGGGUUUCUAAGCCCAGACCAAAAACCCGGACUCGGGAGGUGCCGGGUUUGCGCCCGGCCCGCACCCGGAAAAUCGGAUUUUAACCCGGGUCCGGGUUUUUUGUCCACUCAUCCGGUCUGGUCCCGGGCAACACCAAAACCCGGACCAGACCCGGAUUUUGCCAAGCCUAAAUAAAAACAAAUUAUAAAUUGUUUAGUGAUCACAAUGGAUCCUGAAAAUGACAACAACUACAUUAUUAUAAUGAGUUUGACGUGUCAUUGUACAUGGAUUCGUUAUGAUGAAUCAUGAAACACCGUUGAGUAAUUAAUUCGGCCACUUUUCACCUAUAAAUUUGAUGGCAUACUUUGAAUACACAACAUGGUUGUAAAUAUAAAUUUAGAGAAUUUUUGUGGGAAAGAAUAAUUUUAUUGACAAAAGUUAUUUUAAGUACAAAAAUAAUUUUAAGUACAAAAAUUAUAACAUCUCCAUUUUUAAUAUAGCUGACAUAAGUUAUUUGAGUUAAAAAAAAAAGGAGGAAACUUAGAUACGCCAUAUUAAAUAGGGCAGUAAUAAAAAAAAAAAUCUAAUUGACAUAAAUUAUUUGAGCAAAUGACAAAUAUUCGCUAAGAAAGUCUUUUUCAUUUUUUCCCAAAUAAUAAUCAAUGUUUUUUUCCACUACGCAUUGAAAGAGCUCGCAUCGACAUCAAUCAUGAACCAGUCGUGGCCUAGCUAUAUUGCCUGCAUUAUGAAUACCACCUAUGACCUUUAGAGCCUAACCGUUUAUCUCAGUCUAUUUUUAAUACUCAGGACAUGACCCUACUGGUCCCAUUAUAUAUCUAUUUAAAUUUCUUUUUUUUAGAAUGUCUAUUUAGAUUUCUUAAAUUUAAAAAACAAAUCAACUUCUAGCCCUUUAAAAAAAAAAAAUCUAAAAUCAACAAAGCUAUUAUUUUGAAGAUAUUUUGAAUUCCAAUUCCCAAUUAAAAUCAUGAAUAUAUCAGCUAUAUCAUAGCUUCAGCAUAACUAGUAAGUGGUGACAUCAAAUUUUCAAAUAUUUGGAACUGGAAGCAAAUAUCUAGUUAAUGAUUGAAGUUGCUGACGAAUAAAACCUCUUGUAUUAUCAUAGAGGCUGCCCCAAUAGCUUGCAAUAACUAUGGAUGGUGCAGUAAAGUUUCAGGAUAGAUGAAUAAACUAAAAAGCAAAAGAGAAAUAUCAGUUGCAGUAAGAACUACGUCAUCUCCACCUCGAUUAUUAUUCAAAUAUUAACACCAAAUGUCACUGAACAGCACAAGAGAAACAUCAUCCAUAUUUUAAAUGUAUCUGAAUAGCAUAAAUAUGAAAAUCACUGCAGAAAGUAAAAAAAAGAAAAAAGUAAAGAGAAAUUUAUCUCACAGCAUUCCUAUUAUUAAAACAUCAUUCAUUCAGUCUCUGGCCAAAGAACAUGAUAGCAACUACAAAAACCCAUGAGCCGGCAGGUCUUGUCCCUGUACAUGGUGAAACAACUAAAAUUAUGCUUUAAGAACUUUGCAAUAACUAAAAUUAUUACUCAAUACAUAUAGAAAACUUGGGCUCUGGAUAACUAUUUUCCCAAAUCAUGGGGUGUAGCUGUUCUUUUCUCCUAAUCAUUGAGGUACAUGUGAAAUAGAGAGAGAGAGAGAGAGAGAUUAAUUAGUAUACAUUCCAUUGGUAGAGUUUCUAGCUUAAAAUUUAUAUCACAGGCAUUGCUUAUUGAAUUGAAUACAUAUGAGUCCGUCUAUUUAAUGUUAAGUCUAAUAAUAGGAAAGCAGGCUCCAUUCAUUUUCAACAAGCAUUGCAAAAUUCAAAGUUUAUAUCACCGUUUAAUCAAUAGGGGAAUUGAUUUCCCAUAACAAGAAUGAACUCUAUAUAUAUGUAUGUAUACACCAAGAACACAGGAAGAAAAUUAUUUCUAUCAGAAAAUCAAGAUCACUCAACCAAACAAUGGUACCUUCCAAUCUACCUAGUGUAUGUAUAUAGGCAUCCACUGAUUGAUACUUUGAAUUUAAUUAAUGAAUUUAAUUAAUAAAUCAACUUCAGGUGUCAUGUUUCCACAUUAAAUAGAGCGAAUAACAAUUAACUAGAUAUGACAGAACUGGUUAAAAAUUUGCUCAAGAUAUACUAAAAAGAUCAAAUUUUAUUAUUUUUUACCUGC